rnacentral:lncRNA from 1 species
GAAACAUCGACUUCUCUGGUGUCUACCACACUAGUCAAAUACAACAGGUACCCUGGUCAAGCAACUUACUAACCUUCAUAGCUGGGAUAACUUUUAGCGAAAUGAUAGUUCCAACCUCUUUGUACUUGAAACAAGCCUCUGGAGAAGGAUUAGAAACUACAUUUUCGCUGAACAUUUUAUGUUUACAUGGUUAAACUACAUUCCAAUUUUCAAACUCCAAACUAGUAACUUUUCAUUCACGAGAAACUCAAAAUUGUUUCUUAAAGUCACAUCAAGACAACCAUGCUCAUCUUCCUUGUUUCUUUUCCAAUACCUCCAUUCUAAAACCAUUUAAUGUGUUUCGUAUAAACUUGACCGUGUAUUUAGUCCUCGUUAAAACCACCUACAUAACUUAUUUUUCUUAGAUUUCCAAUCACAAAACAGACAAUUUCGCUAACAACGUCUUACUUUUCUACUACUCGACCACUCCUUUGAACACCUCUACAUGGCAACAUUUUUCCUAAAUUUCACCAUUAAAUCCUUCACCAUUAAAUCAUAACAUUCAUGUAAUUCUAGUUUAACUUAGGCAAGGUCAUAUACAUAAACCAUACAUAUAAGCAUAAAGCAUACCUGACGAGAGACGAAGGGUCGCGUUUGCCAUAGGAACACAAAAACAUAGACUUACAUCGUAAGUCAGUCUACAGAACCUAAAACUUAGGCUCUGAUACCAACUGUAACGACCCAACUUUUCUAAGUAAGUCGAGGUCGUUAAUUUUUUUUAACAAAAGACUUUGGUUGAUACAAAACGAAACGUAAGUCAAUUUAAAAACAAUACAUCUUCAGGCCUGAUUUUCAAAUAUUCAAGAAAACAUAAAAUAAUACUGUUUGCAACAAACGUUUGUAAACUAAAUUUCAAAUCAAUCUUAAAUAAGCGGAAGCAACUACACGUUUCCUAUGGCAUCACGCUUCCUUCCUGCCCCUCGCCGGUUUGCCGCCUUUAUUACCUUUGCCUGAAAAUUAAACAUAAGAAGGGUGAGUAUUUUAAAUACUCAGUAAGAGACCCUCUACUGGUCUCGUCAGGGGAAAAUAAAUUGUUAAAGUUCUAUUGGGACACCCUGUACAGUCGCAGUCUUGUGAUCCCGUAGGAUACACAUAUCAGUCUAACGCCCCGAAGGACGUACAUAUCAGUCUGACGCCCCGAGGGACGUACAUAUCAGUCAAGUGUUCUGCAGAACACAUAUCAGUCAAAUGCUCCCGAAGGUGCAAAAAUAAAUUGGUGAUCCCGUGGGACACCUACAAGGUAAUCAUCCCAAUACAACUUAACAAUUUAUCCCCUCAUUCCAUUCAACCCAUCUUUCAGAUACUUCAAAACAUAGAGUUCCUUCUCUCAACAGUCAACUUAUCUCACUUAGGUCAUAUGUCUGUCAAUAACAUACUAAUACAUCAGUCAAUCAAACUAUACAGUCAAUACACCCCUCAGAUCACCAGCACACAGUCAUACUUUAGCGUAACGACACCCAAUCUAAACGACAAUCACAAGAUCGCAUCUGCAUCUCAUACAAGCAUAAUCUACAAUUUUCGUCCUGUCCACAUCCACACACAUAUAUAUAUAUUCCAUGACAAUCACAAUAUGCAUUCCACAUUAAGUCUACUUCAAUUCCUAUGCAUAUGUAUAUAUAUUUUCAGUCAAUCCACAGUGUACAUUCAGCACCGAAUCUACACCCAUACGUGUAUAAACAUAAGUAUCACCUCAACAUCUUUACUCAGUCAAAGAUAAUCAUUCAGACAUACAAUUCACAAUCAUAAGUGAGUCCAGUAGAAAAUCCCUUACCUUCAAAUUUGUUAAGCUCCUUAACCACGUUGAAGUCUAUGAAGAACGAACCUAAACAUUAAGACAAUUUCUCAAUAAUUCCCUUCAACGCAUCAGUCAUUUAAAUUCAACCCAAUGUGAAUCUUUUUGCAACUUACCCAAAUCUUCGCGAAAGAAAUCGAGUAGUGGCUUUGCGAAGAGAUGACGUGCGGCGGAGAGACCGUAUACAGAUGGCCGGAGAGUCGCGCGGCAGUGCAGACGACGGAGGAGAAGAAAUCGGCGGCGGCUGGGCUGAAAACAGAGGAGAAAGGAGAGGGGAGACAGCCGGCGGUUACAGGUUCACGCGGCGGCCUUGCUUCGCGAACAGAGAUGGCGGCCGACGGUUGCAGCGACGGAAGAGCAACGGCGCCGCAGAUCUGGACUGGCAGCGGCGCAGUCUUGCUUCGCGGUGGGGCUGCGGACGGAAGAAGAAAAUGGAAAGAAAGGAUCGGCGGCUAGCUGCGGGACGGGAAGAAGAAGAUAGAGGUGUGGUUGCGGCUGGGCUGCGGUUGGCUGCGGCGGGACGGGAAGAAGAAGAUAGAGGCGGCGGCCGUGGAGCGGAGAAGAAAAGAGGAAGAAAAAGAAGAAAGAAAAGAGAAAGGAAAAGAGAAGAGAACGGGGGGGGGGGCUGUGCAGCGCGCGAGAGAGAGAGAGAGAAUUUCUUUUUCUUUUCUUUUUUUUAUUUAAAUUAAAUAUAAUUAAAUAAAUAAAUAUAUAUAUAUAUAUAUAAAAUAAAAACAAAAUAUAUAUAUAUAUAUAUACCUUUGGGGCAUUACAUUCUUCCCUCCUUAAGAAACUUUCGUCCUCGAAAGUUUUACUCCUGAAAUAACUCUGGAUAACGAGUCCUCAUCUCUUCCUCUCGCUCCCAUGUCGCCUCUUCCAUUCGAUGGUUCCGCCACAAAACUUUUACUAAUGGAAUGCUUCUAUUACGAAGCAUCUUUACCUCCCUAGCCAGAAUCUCCACAGGUUGUUCUACAUAGCUCAAAUGCUCAUCAAUCUCCAAGGGUUCAUAGUCCACUACAUGAGACGUAUCGGCCAUAUAUUUCCUCAACAUCGAAACAUGGAAAACAUUAUGGACUGCAGAGAGUGAUGGUGGUAACGCCAAGCGAUACGCCACAACGCCAACCCUCUCUAAGACCUCAAAUGGUCCAACAAAACGAGGACUUAACUUCCCUUUCUUCUCAAAAUGCAUAACACCCUUCAUAGGUACUACCUUCAAGAAUACCUUUUCUCCCACAUCGAACUUAAGGUCUUUUCGCCGUACAUCUGCAUAACUCUUCUGUCUACUCUGCGCUGUUUGCAUACGUGUUCUAAUCUUUUGAAUAGCCUCAUUAGUAGACCGAACUAAUUCAGGUCCCAUCAACCUAUGUUCACCAACCUCACCCCAACAAACAGGGGUUCUACAACAUUUGCCAUACAAAGCCUCAAAUGGUGUCAUACCGAUGGUAGCCUGGAAACUGUUGUUAUAAGAAAACUCCAUCAAAUGUAGAUGAGAGUCCCAACUACCUGGAAACUCUAUAACACAAGCUCGUAGCAUAUCCUCUAAAACUUGGUUCAAACGUUCAGUUUGACCAUCAGUCUGUGGAUGAAAGGCUGUACUAAAAUCCAAUCUCGUACCCAUAGCAGUCUGAAGUCCCUUCCAAAACUUGGAAGUAAACCGUCCAUCCCUAUCAGAAACAAUCGAUACAAGCACUCCAUGCAGUCUCACAAUCUCAGUUAAAUACAACUCUGCCCACUUACUAGCAGUAUAAGUGGAUUUCCCUGGUACAAAAUGUGCCGAUUUCGUAAGCCUGUCUAUGACAACCAAAAUCACUGUGAAACCCUUCAGGGUCUUAGGCAGCCCUGAAAUAAAAUCCAUCGACACAUUCUCCCACUUCUACUCUGGCACACUUAAAGGUUGUAACAAACCUGCUGGUUUCUGUCUAGGUGCCUUAACUUGCUGACAUACUAAGCACUUACUAACAAGAUCUUCCAUUUCUCUCUUCAUAUUACGCUAGUAACAAACUCUUUUCAGAUCCGGAUACAUUUUUGUGCUACUUGGAUGCAUGAGAAAUGGGAAACUAUGAGUCUCAACCAAUAACCUUGUCUUAAUUGCUUUUUCUGUUGGCACACAUAAUUCUCUCUCAAACAUAAGUUCAUCAUCAAAGGAUAUGGAAAACUCCUUAACUUGCCCUACUUCUACUAGGCGAUGCUUCUCAAUCAAAUAAGGAUCAAUGAAUUGAACCACAAGAAUUCUUUGUCUCAAGGUCGGAUGUACUGACAACUGAGCUAACUUUGAGGUGACUUCCCCCACUGAAACUACAAUCUCAGCUCUCUCGUGGUUUUUUUUUGUCUAAUGAAACCUGUCUGGUAAUAAGUGCUGUCAAAAUGUGAUACUUUUCUACGAAGAGCACCAACUUCCACAUUCACCUUACCUAGAUGGUACAAAAUCUCACAAUCAUAGUCAUUUACUAACUGAAACCAUCUUUGCUAUCUCAUACUCAACUUCUUUUGAGUGAAGAAGUAUUUUAUACUCUUUUGGUUAGAAAAUAUCUAUAUCUUUUCAUCAUACAUAUAGUGCCUUCAAAUCAUUAAUGUAAAAACCACAACUGUCAAUUCCAUAUCAUAAGUUGGACCAUUUUCCUCACGAGGAGUACAAGCAACUACUUUAACUUGUUGAAUAAGAAUACCUUUUAAACUUUCCUAAAAGCAUCACUAUAAAUUACGGAACAUUCUGAACCAUCAUGUACGGUAAGCACGGGAGUUGUACAAGCUUCUGCUUAAGAUCCUGAGCACUAUCCUCAUAGGCUUUGUCCCAAACAAACAGAGUCCUUUUCUUAGUUAACUGAGUCAAAGGAGUAGCUAUACGAGAAAAUUCUUAUACAAACCGUUAGUAAUAACUUGCUAACCCUAAAAGACUAUGAACCUCACUGACUAUGAAAAGUCGAGGCCAACUAGUAACAACUUCAAUCUUUUGUGAGAUCCACAUAAAUGUCACCUCUAGAUACCACAUGGCUUGGAAAGAUACUUGGCCUCAUCCAAAACUCACAUUUUGAAAACUUUGCAUACAAUUCGUUGACUCGAAGAGCCUCUAAAACCAUGUUAAAUGCUCCUCAUGCGCUGUCUCUAUUUUGGAAUAAAUUAAGAUAUCGUCAAUAAAUACAAUCACGAAAGUGUCUAAGAGAUCGUUAAACACUUUGUUCAUCAAGUCGUAAACAUUGUUUGAGCAUUUGCCAACUCAAAAGACAUCAUCAAGUCGUAAACAUUUUAGGUUAGAUUGAGUUUGUUGCACUUACACACUUGGUUGUCAUUUUGGGUCUUCAAGUGCUCUUUUCACACUUUUUGAACUUUUUGGUAGUUUAUUAGUUACGAACCUACACAUAAGCUUUUUUAGAUCAUUUUGAAAGUUCAAGUGAUACUUAGACACGUUUUGAACUCGUUUUAGGUUGGUUUGAAACUAAGUUUAUUGACCUUACCCACUUGGUUGCCAUUUUGGGUCUUGACGUGCUGUUUUCACACUUUUUGAACUUUUUGGUAGCUUAUUAGUUACGAACCUACACAUAAGCUUUUUUAGAUCCUUUUGAAAGUUCAAGUGAUACUUAGACACGUUUUGAACUCGUUUUAGGUUGGUUUGAAACUAAGUUUAUUGACCUCACCCACUUGGUUGCCAUUUUGGGUCUUGACGUGUUGUUUUCACACUUUUUGAACUUUUUGGUAGGCUAUGGGUUACCAAAUUACACUUAAGCUUUCUUAGAUCGUUUUGAAAGUCCAAGUGAUACUUAGACACGCCUUGACCACUUUUUAGGUUGGUUUGGAACUAAGUUUGUUGCACUUGCACACUUGGUUGUCAUUUUGGAUCCUGGAGUGUUUUUUUUUUCCAUACUUUUUGAACUUUUUGGUAGGUUAUGAGUGACGAACUUACAAACAAACAUUCUUAGGUCGUUCUGAAAGUUCAAGUGAUACUUAAACACGACUUGAACAUUUUUUAGAUUUGUUUAAGACUAAGUUUGUUUCACUUGCAUACUUGUUUCACAAGCAUUUUGAACUUUUUGUUAGUUUAUGAGUUACGAACUUACACUUAAGCAUUGUUAGGUCCUUUUAAACACAUUUUGUGUUUGUUUGGAACUAUGUUUGUUACACAUUUGGUUGACAUGUUGGGUCUUGAAGUGCUUUUUUUCACACUUUUUGAAAUUUUUGUAGGUUGUGAGUUACGAACUUACGCUUGAGUAUUGUUUGGUCGGUUUGAAAGCUUAGACACGUUUUGACCUCUUUUUAGGAUGGCUUGAAACUAAGUUCGUUGCACUUAGAUACUUCGUUUCCGUUUUGGGUCUUGAAGUACUUUUUUCACACUUUUUGAAAUUUUGGUAGGUUGUGAGUUACAAACUUACAUUUUAAGCAUUGUUUGGUCGUUUUGAAAAUUCAAGUGAUGCUUACACACAUUUUGAUUACAUUUUAGGCUAGAUUGCGUUUGUUGCACUUACACACUUGGUUGUCAUUUUUGUUCUUGAAAUUCUUUUUUCAACCUUUUUGGUAGAUUAUGAGUUACAAACUUACACUUAGGAUUUGCUAGGUCAUUUUGAAAACUCAAGUAAUACCUAGACACGUUUUGAGCACGUUUUAGCUUGGUUUGCACUAAGUUUAUUGCACUUGCACACUUGGUUGCCAUUUUGGGUCUUGUAGUGCUUUUUUCACACUAGUUGAACUUUUUUGGUAGGUUAUGAGUUACGAACCUACACGUAAGAUUUUUAGGUCGUUUUAAAAGUUCAAGUGAUACUGAGACACGUUUUGAACUCGUUGUAGGUUGGUUUGAAACUAAGUUUGUUGACCUUACCCACCUGGUUGCCAUUUUGGGUCUUGAAGUGCCCUUUUCACACUUUUUGAACUUUUUGGUAGGCUAUGGGUUACCAACUUACACUUAAGCUUUGUUAGGUCGUUUUGAAAGUCCAAGUAAUACUUAGACACGCCUUGACCACUUUUUAGGUUCGUUUGGAACUAAGUUUGUUGCACUUGCACACUUGGUUGCCAUUUUGGGUCCUGUAGUGUUUUUUUCUUUUCCGUACUUUUUGAAUUUUUUGGUAGGUUAUGAGUGACAAACUUACAAGUAAACGUUCUUAGGUCGUUCUGAAAGUUCAAGUGAUACUUAAACAUAGUUUGAACAAAUUUUAGAUUUGUUUAAGACUAGGUUUGUUUCACUUGCAUACUUGGUUGCCAUUUUAGGUCUCAAAGUGCAUUUUCACACAUUUUGAACUUUUUGUUAGUUUGUGAGUUACGAACUUACACUUAAGGAUUAUUUGGUCAUUUUGGGGUUUUGGGGUUUUGGGGUUUUGUGGUUUUGGGGUUAGGGUUUAGGGUUUUGGGUUUAGGGUUUUGGGUUUAGGGUUUUGGGUUUAGGGUUUGAUGGUUUGAGAGGUAGGGGUUGGGUUUCGAGGUUUAGAGUUUUCGAGCUUUUGAGGUUGGGGGUUGGGGGUUGGGGUUUGAGGGUUGGAAGGUUUGCGGUUUGGGUUUCCAGGUUUGGACUUUUCGAGGUUUCGAGGUUGGUGGUUUUGGCUUCAGGGUUUCAGGUUCAAGGUUCGAGGUUCGAGGUUCGAGGUUUAGGGUUCAGGGUUAGGGGUAUUUAGGGUUUAGUGUUUAGGACUUUGGGUUCCAGUUUCGGGAUUGAGGUUUGGGGUUCGUGGUUUGAGGUUUGGGGUACUUUGGGGUGUAUGAUUUAGGGGUUAAAGUUUAGGAUUUAUGGUUUGCGAUUUCAGAUUUCUGGUUUAGGGUGCAUGGAUCGGUUCGGGGUUCGUGAUUUCGAGAUUCGGGGUGGAGUGUUUGGGGUUUAGGUUAGAGUUAUAGGGCUGGGUGUUAUUAGAUUCUGAGACGAUGACCAAUAUUAAACAAAGUUUGAUACCCAAAAUGCAUGUAAUUCGAAUCAUAAUAAAAAACUCAAUAUUUCAAACUAAUCCAUGAAUAUUCCCUAAAUAAUAGAAAUUUUUAUCUCCACCAACAAAGUUUGAAGUUAGGAUUACAGGUUUCGGAUUUCGGAUUUCGAGUUUUGAGGUUUAGGAGUUUAGGGGUUUAGAGGAUUUGGGAUUUACGGUUUCAAUUUUUGGGUUUAGGGUGCAUGAACUGGUUCGAGGUUCGUGAUUUUGGGCUUUGGGGUGGUGCGUUUGGGGUUUCAGGGUUUAGGGUUGAGGGUAGAGUUUUAAGGCUGUGUGUUAUUAGAUUUCGAGACGAUGACCAAUAUUAAUUAAAGUUUGAUACCCAAAAUGCAUGUAAUUCGAAUCAUAAUAAGAAACUUAAAAUUUCAAACCAAUCCAUAAUACAAAAUACAUAGAUAUUCCCUAAAUAAUAGAAAUUGUUAUCUCCACCAACAAAGUUUGAAGUUAGGAUUUCAGGUUUCAGAUUUUGAGUUUUGGCGUUUAGGGGUUUUGUGGUUGGGAGUUUGGAGGUUUGGGUGUUGGAAGGUUUAGGGGUUAAGGGUUGGAAGGUUUGAGAGGUUGGGGGUUGGGUUUCGAGGUUUAGACUUUUCGAGGUUUUGAGGUUUUGGGGUUUGGAGGUUUGGGUGUUGAGGGUUGGAAGGUUUUGGGUUUGGGUAUAGAGGUUUUGGGUUUCAAGGUUUAGACUUUUCGAGGUUUCGAAGUUUGUGGUUUUGGGAUUAUAGGUUUCACGUUCUGGGUUCAAGGUUCGAGGUUCGGGGUUUGGGGUACUUUAGGGUUUAUUAUUUAGGAUUUUGGGUUCGGGUUUCGGGUUCGGGGUACUUUAGGUUUUACGGUUUAGGGGUUAAAAGUUUAGGAUUUAUGGUUUACGGUUUACGGUUUUUAGGGGUUUAGGGUUUAGGGUUUUAGGUUUCGAGGUUUAAGGUGCAUGGAUUGGUUCAGUGUUCGUGAUUUUGGGAUUCAGGGUGGAGCGUUUGGGGUUUCAGGGUUUAGGGUUUAGGUUAGAGUUAUAGGGUUGUGUUGUUAUUAGAUUCUGAGACGAUGACCAAUAUUAAUCAAAGUUUGAUACCCAAAAUGCCAUGUAAUUCGAAUCAUAAUAAGAAACUAAAAAUUUCUAACCAAUCCAUAAUGCAAAAUGCAUAGAUACUCCCUAAAUAAUAGAAAUUGUUUAUCUCCACCAACAAAGUUUUGAAGUUAGGAUUACAGGUUUUAGAUAUCGAUUUUCAGGGUUUAGGGGUUUUGGGGCUUGGAGGUUUGGGGGUUGGAAGGUUUGUGGGUUGGGUUUCGAAGGUUUGUAGUUUUUGGGGUUUUAGGUUUCGUUUCAGGGUUCAAGGUUGGAGGUUCGACGUUCAAGGUUCGGGGUUUGGGGUUUGAGUUGUUAAAGGUACUUUAGGGUUUAGUGUUUAGGAUUUUAGGGUUCGAGUUUCGAGAUUGGGGAUUGGGGUUUGGGGUUCAGGGUUCGUGGUUUGGGGUUCGGGGUUCGUGGUUUACGGUACUUUGGUUACUUUAGGGUUUAUGGUUUAAGGGUUAAAAUUUAGGAUUUAUGGUUUACGGUUUUAGGUUUUUAGGGGUUUUCAGGGUUUAGGGUGCAUGGAUCAGUUUUGGAGUUCUUGAUUUCAGGUCUCAGGGUAGAGCGUUUUCGGUUUUCAAGUUUCAGGUUUCGAGUUUUUGGGUUUUGGGGGUGGGGGUUUGGGGGUUGGGGGUUGGGUUAGGGGUUUUAGGUUUCAAGGUUUAGACUUUUCGAGCUUUCGAGCUUUCGAGGUUUGUGGUUUUGGGGUACUUUAGGGUUUAUGGUUUAGGGGCUAAAGUUUAGGGUUUAUUGUUUACGGUUUACGGUUUUUAGGGAUUUAGGGUUUCGUGUUUUAGGUUUCGGGGUUUAAGAUGUAUUGGAUCGAUUUGGGGUUGUGUGAUUUCAGGCUCCGGGGUGGAGCGUUUGAGGUUUGAAGUUUGAGGUUUCGAGGUUUUGGGUUUAGAAGUUUUGGGGUUUGGGGGUUUGGAUUUUAGGGUUUCAGGUUUCGGGGUUUAGGGUGCCAAUGGAUCGGUUCGAGGUUCGUGAUUUCGAGCAUCGGGAUGGAGCGUUUGGAGUUUCAAGUUUUGGGUUUAGGAGUUUUGGGGUUUGAAGGUUUGGGGGGUUUUGUGGUUCGUUUGUUGGGGUUCAAGGUUUCAAGGUUCUGUUUCAAGUUUCGGUUUCAGGUAUGUGUUUCUAAGGGUGGAUCUUCUUGAAGAUUGUUUUGCCCUAAACUAAUUUAUCUUUUAAGUUUCUUUCUUUCUUCUUAAUCUUCUUUAUUUAAUCAUAUCAUGUCUUCAAAAUUUUCUAUGUUAUUUAGAGCCAGAAGACAUGCAUCAAAAACCAAGGAGAGAGUAAAGAUCGUGCAAAACUAUAAGCAAGAAGAGGAAAAAGGGAGCAUGCGAUCUUUUUAUAUUUUCUCUUCUAUAUGGUACUAUUUAAGAAAAGAUAAAUUCAAGAAGAUAAGAAUAUAUGUAAAACUUUUAUUAUAUAUGUGUGUAUGGCUGCUAUUAUUGUAAAAAUAAAAAUAUGCUUUCAAUUGUUUAACUAACAAAAAUUUCAGCAAGGUUCAACUAAAGUUCCUACACCGUGCCAAGAACCCCCAACAACAGCGCCAUUUGCUUUAUCAUUCUCGGAGAAUCAUUCUCCUGCCCCAAAUACACUCCAUGUCUUUUUUUAUUUUGAUGAUCAACGACUACUUUUUUAUUUUUAUUAUCGGUAAAAUGGUAAAAAGAAAAUGAAGUUUAACCCCUUCCCCCCUACCGUUUUUGUGAAGGAGGGUUGCUGUUCAGAAUGAGCGACAGUAAUAUGCAAUAUGUAACAUCUACUUCAUACCUUCUGUUAACUUACACCAAAUACUUGAUCUCCACCAAUAUGGUUGCUAACUAUGGGGACACCACAAUCACUCUCAAACCCUCCAUUCCAUCACCAAGAAACAGGUAUUUUUCGAAUUUGGACCAUGUCUAUUUUUGUGGAUAUUACUUUUCUUUUUUUUUUUAUAGUCGUUUGUUACCAUGUUGGGGUGUUUGGGUCCAGAUUUGCAAGGAAGGGAGUUGACUAAAAUAGCUAACUCCUUGUUCGGAUCUCGAAUUAUGAAAAUCCUAGUAUUAGGAGUUUAUAGAGUCUAGUAGAGUAUGAGAGGAAAGGGGAUAACUCCGGUCAAGAGGAGCUAGAUAUGGCGCAAAGAUAUCAUUCACAAAAGAGUUUGUUUAGGGGUUUACGGGUCUAGGGUUUAGGGUUUGACUAAAUUAAAUUGUAUUUAGUCAAAUUAAUUUUGAAAUUGUGAAAAUAUACGUGGAUGUAUUUUCCACUGCAAUCUUUUUUUUUUCCAUCUCUUUUGAAUAAUUUUCAAAGUAUUUCAACAAGUAUAGUUUUGUAACUUCACAAAAAAAUAAUUUAACAAAUAUCGUAGUAAAUAAUAAAUAUUAUAGGAAAUUGAGGAUUUGAAAUAGUGUUUAAGAUAGUUAAUUUGAGAUUUUUAAAUACCAUUUACUAUAGCAAAGGGGUUUAGGGGUUAGGGAUUCGGGGUUUACGGUUUUUGUUAGGCUACGGUUUAUUUAUCAAUGGGGUUCAUGUUCUAGUUUCUAUUUUCUAUUUUAAAUAAUGUACAAGAGAGUUGUGGAUUGCCAUUGUCCACAAAAUCAGAGUACCUUUCAUUUAUUUUCUCUCUUCAAGCUUUCUCUCAGAGCUAGUUUUUCCCGUAAUAACUCCACGAAUUUCUAAUUUGCUUUUAUGUUAUCCUUUGUUCUUCUUGUCUUCUUCACAUAAAAAAGACGAUCAAAUUUCUACAAAUUAUUCUACCAUUUCUCCCACAAAAAGUUCGCCCUGUAAUUACAUUUCUUUGUGUUUUCAUUAUCCUUUACUAUUCUGCCCCUUUUUUUUAUUAACCUCUACAAGCCCCCUCGUCUUUUGCCUAUUUUUUUUGUAAGAAGGAUGUUGAGCCGUGGUUGCCUAAGGGUAUCAAUUACUAGGAGUGCAAUGAAGAUAAUAGAAAAUAUUAAAGAGAUCAUGGACAAAACCACAACAAUUAUGAAAUUAAUCAUAAACUUCCUUUUCAGGUUACAUUCUCUUUCUCUCUUAUUUGCUAACUAUGUUGCAAUAUUUUCUUAUUUAUGUUGUUUUGAAGGUUGCACCAUAUUAUUUUCCAUCAUUCCUUUAUAAGUUAGGCUCUUGUCGAAAAAAAUUUCCUUCGACAUGGUAAUUUUAAGUUAUUUAUGAUCUCAAUGUGAAAUCACACAAGAAUUAUUAAUUUAUGAAUAUGGUAGAUCUUUAGAUGUAGAUUUUUAAAAAACAAAUUUCAUAUUUUGGUAACUGGUUUUCUUUAUUAUUUUAAUAAAUAGGAAUCGACUUGCAUUUUUUUAGUUUUUUUUUUUUUUUUUGUAAAAAUAAUGAUUUGAUUUGUUUGUUUUUAAGUAUUGGGUUUGGCAAGAUGUGGUUAUCUCACAUCCAUUUUUUUUAUAGAAAAGUUUGACUCAAAGACUAUAAAAGAAACCUAUUUCAUUUAUUUAGAAAUUCUCACUUAUAAACAUUUUAAGUUUUAGUGUGAUUACUCUAAUUAAAUUCCUUCUGUAUUAUCUAGUUGGAGAGUGGAUAAAAAAUGUGAGUGGUUAAAAACUUUGAGAAUGUGUUCUUAUAAUGGGGUCUCUCAUGAGAGAGUGUUCUUGUAAUUGGGGUCGGGCUUUGAGACUCAAAUUAACUACCAAAUAGGCAAGACUAUGGUUUGGUAUUUUUAUAAGUUAAUUUUGGGUCGAGCAUUGUGGACUUUCCAUAUACGUUUAAAAUUUUAAGUGAGAAUAAAUUAUUGCUAGGAUUUGAGUAAAUAGACGAUGGGCCUUUCAUUUUGGGCCAUAGAGUACAAUUUUCGAAAUGGAUCCAAACGAAGGAAAGUCACUCAUUGUGUGUGUGAACCUGAUAAAGCCACGUAGGUUGAAGUUGCAUAGACCAAUUCUUUCGAUCGUGUUGUUGGUUAUCAUACUUGUAUCUUUAAAGUAGUUUGAACGAAAAUGGACGAUCCGAGACACAAAUAGCACUACACCAAAAUGAACUUUUAAUAGCCCAUUAUUUUAAAUGGGAUGUGGAAAAGAACAACAAAGAAAAAGCGGGAAAUAAAUAUUUAAGUUCCCUCUAAAUAUUUUCCCCCAUUUUCGGCCUCUUUCAAUCUAAUUCAUUUUGCUCUCUAGUGCGCUCUAGCACGACUACGAAAGCCACGUUGAAACCCAACACGACGACUGCGAUACCCUGCCUCUCACGAUUGUUUCACAACAACAUGCUGAUCUCUCACCGUCGUCCACAUUGGUUUUGCUUAGGGUUCGUCGUCUACCAGCCCAUCCUCUGCUACUGUUAGACACUUGAAGCUAAUGAUUCAAGGUUAGUCUUUCUUCUUCCUUUCUUCUACCUCGUUUUUAUGGUAAGUGCAUUGAAUGGAAUAUCACAGUAUAUAAACUCUUUUCACCAUUCCAAACUCUGAAAUAUUACUGUUGACCCAAAUAAUUUAUCCACCAUACUGUAGAUCUUAAGUUCCACAUCCUCUAACAACCUCUGCUUACUAUCUCUUUGCAUCAACAACAAUGUAAAUACCUUCCAACUUCUAUGCUCUCCUCGGUUAUUGUCUCUUAAUUUAUGGGUAAGCUAUUUUUCUAUAGAAAAGUAGUUGGUGUGAAACAACCAAUGGUCUGCAUCAACUUCUAUUUCAUGAGCUUCGUAAACAAGUUUGGCAUCAAUACAAUGUACUUUGGCUUUGACUUUAUCUGUUUUCUUGUUGUACUGUAUGUAGUUCAAUUUUUGUCCUUUCGUGAAUGCUGAUUGUUCAUAUUUGUAGCAUUAGAUGGAAGAAGGAAUUGUAGGGACAUUAAUAAAGAACCUUGUGACGUCAUUUUUUUUAACUAUCUAAUUGAAUAAAUUGUAAUGUUGGACAAGUAGAGUGCUUAGAAUUAAAUUUCUAAUAAUGAUCCGCCAACUAUUUAAGUCAAACAAGAACUGGAUUUUACAACUUCAACUUUUAUACACUACUUCUAACUUCAUGGGACAAACACACCCUACAAACUCAUACUAACAUACAAAUUAUGGAGAGAUUAUGAAAUUCUAUAUUUAAGAGUUUGGUAACAAUUUUUUAUUCCACUUGGGACGUAGUUGAAAACCUAUUUCGAGAUAGAUACAUUUUAAUAUUUUUUAUAUCUUUCGAGAUAAGAUAUAAAAUAUUAUUAAAAUUAAGGUGAUUCAUUUUUUUAUCUUUUAUACAUUUUUUUUAUUUCACAAAUGUAUUUUUUUUGUUCUUGAUGUAUGAUAAUUUUAUAAAUUUUAUUUGUUGACUUUUUUUUUUUAAUUCUAAUAACCGAUAAGAAGUAUAUGUUUAUGGAUUAUUUAAACUUUUAAUUAUUUUCAUUCAUAAGUAAUAUUAAAAAGAAUAUGGAUUAUUAUUAUUGCCUUUUAUACAAAACCCUCUCUCCCGUCAAAUUUCUUCCCCAUCCUUCUUCCAACGGUAACUCUCUCUACUUCCUCUCCCCUCUCCCCUUCUCUUUCGCUCUCUGUGAGUAACCCAUCUUGCCGAUCCACACCAUCAUCUUCUCCUAGCCCUAACGGCGCCAGAAUCAAGAGCGGCAGACCCCUCGGAAACCCAAUUCGUCUUCCAAAGUCCUUUUGUUCCACCGUCACCGUCAGAUCCCGACUCCAUGGUUCUUGAUUCCAAACCCUCGCCGGCUAAGUUGAAGAGCCCGCUUCCACCUAGGUCUCCCUCUUCUAACCCACUUAAGCGGAAGGUAUGAAGACCGUUCCUGAGAAUUCCAUCUCUGGAUUGUCUGAUUCGGGUAUGAAGGUAUUUUACGUGUUGUGGUAUGAUUAUGGGGGUUUUGGAUUAUUUGUCUUAAUUUCGGUGGUGUAGUGACAGUUUUAGUUUAAGAUUCAAGUUUGGAAGUUUUGCCUAGUGUGAACUGUCUCUGUGAUUUUCAGGUGGUAGUGCGCUUGCUGCCGCCAUCCAAGGACGGAGAUGAAGGGGAUAAUAUAAUACAAAAGGUUAUGUGUCGAUGAAGUUAGCGGACAGUGGGCAGAUGCAGAUGAAUUCUUUAAUGAGGUAAACCUGAUCAGAGGAUUACUUGAAAGCAAACCUAUUCUUUAUUUGAAUUUCGAUAAUUAAAGAUUUGUCAUAAAAAAAAAAAGAGGGGGAACUUCACUUUUGGCCUAACCAAAACCAGACCACCUACUCUUAGCGUUCUAGACAUAGCAUCGAUUUUGAUGAGGGGAGUUGCCAAUUGGAUCGAUAUUAUUUAUGGGGCCAUAUUCCUUAGGGAAAAACUUUCUCAGAAUUUUAUGAUUUUGAUCUGGUUUGAUGUAGAAAUAUGGAAAGGCAGCUGUGGAUAACCUCCAUCAGAUAAAUUAGGAAGCGGAUUAAAAAAUAUAUGAUAUGGUUAUGCCAUCAGUAUAUAUCUACAACAAAAGAAAACAAAAAGAAUUAGAUACUUAAGAAUUCAAAUAGCAAUAUUUAUUAAGAGUUCUACACUUCAAUGAUUUUACAUAAAAUUCUCACUCUCCCUCUAUUGUAGCCUUUUCCAGCCACUGCACAAAUGCCCACGGUCUGUUCAAGACGAUGUGGCCCUGAGAACAGAAUAUACAGUUUAAUGAAAUACGAAAAAGAAUCCUACACAUUUGAAAACAAGACAUUACAUUUCAUGGGAAAGAAACAAUGAGUACGUCCAAAGUAACAAUAACUGAGUUAAAUGAAGAUAAAGAAGGAGGUGCAAAGAAAUAUGCUUUAAAAUCUCAUUACUGGUUCUAUUAUUAUCAUUAAUAAGAUUGAUUUAUUCUAUAAAUUGUCUUCAAUAUCUUUAGAGCACAGUUGUAAAGGAGAUCCUAGUUCAUAUUGCCAAAACUCAAAUCUUAAUAUUUUUUUUGAAGAGUUAGGCAAAUCACUAUUUAGAUGCGGACUACUUUAAUACUUCAAUGAGAUAUUUUGUGGCUGUACAGGAACAGGCUAUGUGAAAGAGACCAGGCUAUUCGCAAACUGGAAAGGGAAAUAGAAGAUAAAGAUAGGGAAUUGCAAUCAAUUAAAUUAGACAACGACGCAGUGUGUUUUUUUUUUCCCCCCUCAUGCUUGAUGUGCUUACAUAAGAAUGUUUUGUAAUGAUCUGCUUUUUUCUUCACUAACCCUUUUAUUCUAUAAUUUCUUCACAGGCUUGGGCCAAGGAUGAUCUUCUGCGGGAACAAGAUAAGGAAAUAGCAACUUAAAGGUUACAUUUUUUGUUGAUGCCCUUCAAUUUUUCCCUUCUUUUGCCAUUGAUUUUACUUUUUGCUUACGCUAACAUCCUAGCACAUUCUUUAGUAUUUUAAUUUUAUUGCAGUACAUUAUAUUGAAUCUUCAUUUUCCUUGGCUGUGCUAUAAAUGGUGUUUCUUCUAUAUGGAUUUGCAUUAUACAACAGUACCGUAUUAAGUCAUAAAGUUAAGAAAAUUAGAAAGACACCCUUUGUAGGAGAGAACAUGAUCCUUCCUUUAAAGUAAAUUGAGAGAAUUUCCUCUACUUCCUCAAUUUUAAGGCUUGAGGUUUGAAGAACAAGGAUGAAUAAUCAACGAAAGAGGAAUGAAGAGGUUUCUCCUUUAGCGAAAAUAGCGAUUUUUCGUUUUUCAUACUUCCAAAAACACACAAUUAUGAACUUAUUGUGCAUUAAAUUGAUCGAGAGGCCUUCCAAUUGUUUGUUAAUCUAUAGUUUCUGUCUCUAUUUUAAUUAACUGCUACAAGUAGAAGCUUAACUACAUGGUUAGAGUUCUAUCAAAAAAGGAAAGAAAAAAAAGAAGAAAGAUCAUGUGAUAAAUUUAUAGAAAUGCCAUUAAAUUAUUUUCUAACCUUUGAUUUCUGUUUCUGUGGUAAAUUACUGCUACUAGAAAUCUAAUUGUGUUCGGUUAGUUAGACUUCAUGGGUUUGAAUUUAUUUAUUUUUUUGUUAAAGAGGUUCCAUUAUACAGAAUACCCCUAAACUUUGUACUUUAUAUAGAAAUACCAUUGAAAACACACUCAAGACAUAAACUACCAAAAGAGUUAAAAAUACAGUUACUAUAAUUAUCCUAAUUUUAGUAAUAAAUGAAAUUGAGAGAAUUUCCUUUGAUUUUCAGGAACAAGGAUAAUUAAUCAAUGAAAAAGAAAUGAAGAGGUUUAUCCAUGCAAGCUUCAAACCAAAGUCAAGGAUGUCGAUCCUUCCAGGGGAGUCCAAAGUUCCCCCUUAUUCUUCUCCCUUUAUAUUGAUUUUCAAAAGCUUGCAAUUUUUUAAGUGGGGGUGGGCAAUAGCUUACAUGUUUAGUCUAAACUUGGGGGUUCAAAUGUUUUGCCCAAAUUUCAAAAUUUCUAAAAAAAAUUUCCUUACAAUAAGGAGCAUUAUACCUUAUUAGCUUACUUAGAUCUUGCAUAAAAAGCAUGACCGGCAACCCUUGACCACUGAGCUUGGGUUUGUGAUGUAAAAUUCUGAAUGUUGAUGAUUAUAUGUGCUGAAAUUUGAGAAUAAGCUGCCGUCUUUUUUGGUUUACGUCCCUUUUUAGCGAUAUCUUAUUGAGAUGUUAGCGAUAUCUUGUUGAGAUGUGAAUGCUUGAUUGAGAAAAUGGUAUGUGUGUUGUGAAUGCUUGAUUGCAUGUAUAUAAUAAAUAAGUGCAUGGAUACUUUUCUAGCUUUGUCUUCCUUUGUUGCUUUGCCGUGACUUACCUAUGAUGCGCUUAGUCCAAACCUAGCCUAGAUAGAGUUAAAAAAGGAUAGGAGGUACUCUUUAGAAAUUGAGAUGGUUUUAAUAAAUAACAUGAGUUAGGAGCCGUUUGUCUAGCCACAAUGAACUGAAUCCCUUUAGAAAAGGGUGGACAUUAACAAAACUUGUUGCCACUUCGAAGGGAGUAGUCAAACUUAGAAACUAAGUGUAGAACCAUAGAAAGGUUAGCCCACCGGUUCUAGCAAGACCUAGUUACCACAUUGCAUAUCAAAGAAAGAAUAGAGAGACUUGCAAACGUAAACAGUGACACAAUUAAGAGCUAAAAAAAACAAACAACAUAUGCAAUAUACAUCAGAAAAAUCCCAUAAAAAAUGAGGGGAAACUUCACUUAUGGCCUAACCAAAACCAGACCACCUACUCUUAGCGUUCUAGACAUAGCAUCGAGUUUGAUGAGGGCUUUGAAAAGAGGAGGAAUCCUCCCCGUUCCACACUAGGGGGAAAACGAGGCUUGUUGUCACUCCGAAGGGAGCAGUCAAACUUAGCAUUGAGUUUGACGAGGGCUUUGAAAAGAGGAGGAAUCCUCCCCGUUCCAUAGUAGGGGGAAAACGAGGCUUGUUGUCACUCCGAAGGGAGCAGUCAAACUUAGAAACUAAGUCUAGAACCAUAGAAAGGUUACCCCACCGGUUCUUGUGUGCGUACCAAAGAAACAAAAGAGAUAGUUGCAAAUGUAAAACGUAAAAAAACGAGACAAUUAAGAGCUAAAAAAAACAAACAACAUAUGCAUUAUACAUCAGAAAAAUCCCAUUCAGAUUGUUUUAUCUUCUCAUGUUGGGCUACUUCCAAGCAAUGUUUUAAGUGAAGGGUGGAUAAUAGCUCACUUGUUUAGUCUAACCUUGGGGGAUUUCAAAUUUUGUCCAAAUUUCAAAAUUUUUCAAAAGUUUUUCAUUACAAUAAUGAGCAUCAUAGCUUCUUAGAUCUUGCAUAAAAGGCAUGACUGUCAACCCUUGAGCACUAAGCUCGGGUUUGUGACGUGAGAUUCUGAAUUUUGAUGAGUAUAUGUACUGAAAUUUGAGAAUAAGCUUAUGUCCUUUUUGUGUUUGCUAAGUUUCAACUAAUACUCUCAGUAUUUAUCUUUGUGCUUAUGUGAUAGAUUUGUUAUGCACUGUAGUGAUGUGGGGUGUUUCCUUUUCAUCUUAUUUUCUGCAUCUUAAAUACCUUAUUUUUUUGCAUCUUAAUUGGUACUGAAAUUUUGUUUGUUUCAGUGGAAGAGGCACUAUCAGCAUUGACAUGUACAUGUGAUUUUAAGCAAGAACCAGGAGAGUGAGAGUUUUAGUGUGCCGUAUUUAGAAUUUGCCGAUAUCUUUUUCCCGUUUCAGCAAGUAUUCCUGAUAGUGGGGGUAACUCUCAAGUCUGCAGUCUUUUCUUCAUGAAAUUUGUAGAUUAUCUAAGAAUACUAAUAUCAUUUAAUGGUGACAUUUUUUAGCAACUUUUCUUAACCACACUUUUUCAUUAAGUUUACUCUUGUUUAAUUGACAGAUUCUUCGAGUAAUGCUAGAUAUUGGUUCUAACAACGAGAAGUUACUUAAUGAUCCUCUUUGUAAGUGAAAGGGAAACCUUCAUGUCUUUUAUCUCCAUAUUUUCCUUGUAAUGUAUUUUGCUUAUAUUGCUCUGUUUCUGUUGUCAAUGACGAUAUAUCUGGGCUUUUUGUUGUUGUGGUGGUGGUGGUGAAAUAUUUUAUUUAAGCCUCUAGUUAAUAUUUAUGCUUACUUAACAGAAAAUUUGUUGCUUGAGCUUGCUUCAUUUCGUCCUUUUACUUGUUUAAGUCCUCCAAAAAGUAUUCAUUACUUUAAUAAAUUCCCUCACCAGCAUCAUCACCUCUUAGUCAACAAACUGUUUUUUCCCAAAUGCAAAAAAGGAAAAAAAAAAUAAAUAAAGACAAUCAAGAACAACCAUCAACAACAUGAAAAAAAAAAGAGAAGAAAAAGAUAGCUACUGAAAAACAUUACUACCCAUUUUCAUUAUCAUAAUCCUCUACUAUGCUUUUCCACCUUCUAACCCAUUUUUCCAUUGCAGGAUUUAUUGGAGUUGAGGAGUCCCACAAUCUUUAUGUUCUGUUUGUUUCUCCAUCACUUUUUCAAGGCUGUUCAAUUGGAGUUCCAUCUUCAGGUAAUAUUAAUGUGUUUGUUUCUAAGAUAAUUUUGUUAAACACUUGUUUUUGUUGUCUCCAUCCACCAACUGUUUGAUGAAAUGCCGCAUUGAACAAUUUUAUGGGUUCUUGGGAAGCAUGUGAUCUAUGUGUUGUGGAAUUUGUAUAAUUAGUUAGAGUGAUUUAGAAAAACUUUUGUAUUUGUAGUUGGAUAGACAAUUCAUUCCAUAUUUAGAGCAUGAUUAAGAGUUAUUUUGAAAAUGUUAAAAUUACUUCAAAAGAUAUUUGGAUAAUUUAAAUGACUUUCGUCUAUUGUAUGAUGAUCAUGUUUGAUAGAUCGAAAACUUUUCUUCUUCUUCUUCUUCGUUUCUUCCUGCUGCCUAUUCGACCUUCAACUUUGAGUGUAGUUGCUUGGCUGUCGAAUGGCCACCACUCAAAGUCACUCCCUCGCCUUCUUAUCACUCUUAAUUUCCUUAACAACAAAGUCAAACUGCUACAGAACAAUCGAAUUUUUGUUUGAUUAAUUUUCUAUCCACAGGAGGCUUUUGUAUGUUGAUCACCCUUGUUUUCUUUGAAAAGUUUAAACUUCCAUACACGAUAUAUUGGGAAACUUUCACAUUCCUCGGGACAUUAAAAGCUCAAGAGCAUUGAUUUUGAGCAAAAUAAAAAUGAAAAUCUCUUUUAAUUUCCAGCAACACCAUAUUUGAAGUUCAUUGUAUUUUCUUCUUCCAACUACAGGUUGACAUGAUUGUCUUGACAGAUGGAAGUCGUAUUCUUGGCCUCGGUGACCUUGGAGUUCAGGGAAUAGGAAUACCUAGAUUGGAGGGAGAAGAGUAUCUAUCAAUUGUUGAUGAUUUUAUGGAAGCCGUGCAUACAUGUUGGCCUAAAGCUAUUGUUCAGGUUUAUUGGUUAAGAUAUCAAAUUUUUAACUGUGUUCACUGCCAGUAAUCAGUAUCGUAAUCUCGUAAUUUGAUUUUGAAUGAUGCCAGUUUGAGGAUUUUCAAAUGAAAUGGCCUUUUGAAACAUUACAACGUUAUCGUAAGAGGUUCUGCAUGUUCAACGAUGACAUACAAGUGAGUAGUUGAUGAUGUAUUAAUGCAGUUGAUAAUUACUUAAAAGGACAUUCGUUUUCGUUUAUUUCAUUUCAUAAAGGGAACUGCUGGUGUUGCUCUCGUUGGACUAUUGGGAACUGUGAGAGCUCAAGGGCGGCCAUUGAGUGAUUUUGUUAACCAAAAGAUAGUAGUGGUAGGGGCUGGAAGGUAUUGUCAGCUGUUUAACUUUAACAUUUUCUCCAAAUAGCAAUACUGCUAACGAUUUAGGGAUCAUAAGCCUUGUCCUCUUUGUUGAAACAAAAGUGGUUGUUUGAAAGAGGAAUUACUAUUACUAUUACUAUUACUAUUACGUGAAUAUAAGAGAUGAAAACUUUGGAAACUAUAGUUCAAUCCUUUUGGUUUAACCUUCAUUUGUUUCAACAUGCUGUUUUUUCCCCUCUUUCAACUUUAGUGCAGGGCUCGGUGUUCUUAACAUGACUAUUCAGGCUGUUUCGAGAAUGGCAGGGAACAACGAUUCUAGUGCAAGAAUCUUUUUCUAACUUUCAUUCUCAAUUUCUGCAUCAGUCUGUCCAAGUUUUUCCUUCCAUGAGAGUUACUGAUUUCAGAAACCAAUCAGAUGGGGUUCGGAAUUUGGAUAGCUUUAUUAUGGGUUAAUUUGUAUGACGCAGUUUCUUGUGAAAAGUAUGAGGCAGUUGAAGAAGUUAAAUGACUUGUGGUGGUAGUAAUCAUUGUCAAACUCAUGUGGUUUUUAACUUAAAAAGAAAGAGGGAAAAUGUGAACUUAGUCCUAUGCAGAUUAGUGUUUUAAAGAGGAAAAAUAUGAACUUAGUCCUAUGCAGAUUAGUGUUUUAAGUCUUCUAUCUAAUUGUUCGUGGGAUAAAUGCAGUUACUUUAUCAAAAACAAAGAAGAAAAGGAAGGGACCACAAGAAAUCAAUGGUGGAAUCGAUCAGGCAGGGUGUGGAAAAUUACAACUCAGUUUUUGUUUUCACUGUUGAGAACAUGAGAAACCUCAAGUUCAAGGAACUCAGGGAGCAGCUGAAGUCAGCUAGCAGGCAAGUUCUACUUUCUGAAUUCUGUAUUAUUUAAUCUGCGUCAUCAUUUCAAAUAUUGAUUAGUGAUACAAAUGUACUUUCUCUAUGUUGUUUGGUUAGCUUCUAGAUAGCACGAGAAAAGAUAUGAAUAAUAAAUAGCAUAUUUUUAAAACUCAAAAGAUAAAAUCAUAAUGAAUAGCAUUCCUUAGGAGAAAGGAUGAGGACACGUUGUUUCUAUAAACCUAAUUUUAGUUUUGCCAGUUUGAAAUACUUGUGUAGUUUAGUUUAGAUAUAUAUUUAAACUAGCACGUUAAAUAAUAGUUUGCCCUGUUUGUGUUUGCUAAGUUUCAACUAAUACUCUCAGUAUUUAUCUUUGUGCUUAUGUGAUAGAUUUCUUAUGCACUGUAGUGAUUUGGGGUGUUUUCUUAUUUUCUGCAUCUUAGCUACCUUAUUUGCUGCAUCUUAAUUGCUAACGAUUUAGGGAUCAUAAGCCUUGUCCUCUUUGUUGAAAAAAAAAAGUGGUUGUUUGAAAGAGGAAUUACUAUUACUAUUACGUCAAAUUACAUAUUGAAUGAAAAAGAAAAUUACAAUUUCUUUUAGCGCUAUGUAAUGGUAGUCAGGUAUAGUAGUCAUGCCUUUGCUCUAGCUUAUAUAUUCAUGUCUAUGUUACUUUCACACUUCUAUUUAUUAAUUUCAUGAAGUCAGUGGGUUUGCAAAAUGAAAGAAUCGUCAUCCUUUUUAAACCACUAGUCCUAAUGUUUCAAAUGAAUUUUCCAAUUUCUUUUUGGGCUGAUGUUUCCAUAGCCCGUUUCUUAACAAAUUGCAUGCCCUCUUCCAUUUUUAAGGGUGAGAUACCUUUUUGUAUCUUAUGCCCCAAACAACAUUUGUUUCUCAUUCCACCCAAAAUAAUUGGUUAUACUUGAUUUGUCCAAGACGUUCGGCCUCAACAUACAAAGUUGGAUCCAAAGACCUUAAAAUAUAUCUUUUUGGUUAUUCUCGUGUUCUUUGAACAUUCCUCCUUUUAUUCCUCACCUUCUUUCUCUUCGAAUAUGAGUCGAGGGAGUAUCAAGAGUCAAAGGAUGAUUUCUUUAUCUACAAUGUUAUCUCUCCUUCUAAUCCUCUUUGUGGUUCAUCUUCACGUGUGUUUACUUCUAUUUGUCAAACCCAUCACUGAAGUCUAUGAUCGACGACAACCUUCUUCAAUUCCAUGCCCUACCCCUAAGGCUUCUUCGUCAUUGGAUCCAGAAAUGAGUGAUGAUCUUCCUAUUGCUCUUCGUAAAGGUAAACUUAAGUGUGCUCAUCUUAUUUCCUCUUCUGUUUCAUAUAACCAUUAGUUGUCUUCUGCAUGUUCUUUCAUUGCAUCAUUAGAGUUUGUAUCAUUAAGCCUAUUCUCAUCUUGGUUGGUGUGUUGCAAUGGUGGAGGAGAUGAUUACUUUAGAUGAUAAUUGUACUUGGGAUUUAGUUUCUCUCCCUGCACGAAAAAAGUAUAUCAGUUGCAAAUGGGUGGUUACAAUUAAAGUUAAUCCCUGAUGGUUUUGUCGCUCAAUUAAAAGUACACCUUGUAGUGAAAGGCUACGCACAAAACAUGGCGUUAACUAUGCUGAUACUUUUUCUCGAGUAGUAAAAAUGACAUUUGUGAGGUUGUUUAUUUCACUAACUUCAAUCAGUCACUGGCCUUUACAUCAGCUUGAUAUUUUUGAAAAGGAGGUGUAAUUAUGAGUCAAUAAAAAGGACCUGAUCAUGUUGAGGAAGGAGACCCAACCUUGUCUGGUUUCUCAUGAGUAGAUGGAUGAAGGAUUGUAUUCCAGAGAAGUUUCGAGCAACACACCUCAGAAACCAAUCAGAUGGGGUUCAGAAUUUGGAUAGCUUUGUUGUUUCGGUUUCAUCACUCGCAUAUUUGUUGAAAAACUUUCCAGUUUGGUUCUUUUACAAGAACAUCUAUUGAAUCAAUGAACACACUCUAUAUUGGAUCUUGGAUAAAGUGAGGAUUUUUUGGAAGUCUACAUCUUCAAUAUUGAACCUCCCCUUUUCGAACUAGAUACAGUAGAAAGUGUCUACCAUUUUUUCAACUUUUGACUUCCAUUUCUGAAAAAGAUGGAGUUGUAACUCCCCGGGUUUGGCGUUGCCGUCGACGUCACCGUGAGAAGGUGUGGCCGGAAUGAAGAGAGAAGAGGGUGGGUGAGAGGAGAGGAGAGGUUCAAUAUUUGUUUCCAACUUUUUUACAUCAGCUUGAUAUUAAAAGUGCAUUUUGUUAGGAUCCCACCUAAUAAGGAUUACCUCAAGAAAGAAAAGAUGAACUCAAGAAUACUUAAAAAACAUCCAAACAUGAAAUAUAUAUUAGAAAGAUCUUAGUAACAAGUAACAAGUAACCCUAGCCUUUUGAGAGGGUUAGACUCUCCUAAGGUUCCCUUACAAGGAAAACUUUCUCAAAAUUCUUCACCUCUCUCCAACCCCUCUCCCACUAUUUAUAACAAAAAGAACUAACCAACUUACCAUCUAUUUACUAUAUGACCUUACUAACAACCAUUUUCAUUUUCUCCUAAUAAUCCACUAUUUUUCUAUCUAGGGUCCUUACAUUACUCCGCCCUUCGAAGACACCUUGUCCUCAAGGUGUGCUUACAAACUACAAACCUUGAACUCUCUACCAUACCCCUGCCAUCUCGGAAGAAAUUUUAUUCAGCUUUGCCUUGAAAUUCUAUUGGGUUGUAAUAAUUACACUUGCAUGCAUCCAACCCUUUAGACUCCAAGAACUUCCCCAAUCUUCAUUCUUCUCACACGGAAAGUGAUCCCAAUUAACCAACUGCCAUUCCCUGAGCCUAAUUCCAUGCCACUUGCAUUUUAAUUUGAAGCUCUUCCUCUCUAAUGGGCUAAGCCCACAAUUAACUUUAUGACCCCAUCCCCAAAUCAAUUUCACGGCCCAUACACCAUCUUUCUUAGAAUUACCAAUGAGCUUCAGGCAAUUCCUAUCCAUUUUCAAGUUACAUUUCAGCCACACUAACAAAUGGGUCUCAAUGAAUUUAGCAAAUUCAAGCACAUUAAUUUCCUUUCUUUCUUUAUGAAGGCUGUAUUUCUUUGUUAUCAUCUCAUGUUUGGCCCACCAUCCAUAUUCCAAUAGGAUUUCCACUUCCUUAGAUAAAGCCGUCAAUUUAUUUUUCUUUGAGGUAUAAUGGGCCUCAUCCCUUACUUUUGCAAUCAGCCCAAAAAGCAACAUUUUGGCCCACUUUUGAUUAAAUUCUUUCCCUAAUUUCCAUCCCACGUGAUAUACUUUAACCAUUGAGGUUUGCAUGUGCCAAUCCUUCUCCUAGCCUCCACUUUGUUUUCCUGGCCAUUUAUUAGGAAUUUGAUCCCCAAUUUCUCCACCUAAGCCAAGCCCAUUUGAGAAAAUCUGGCCCUUUUCAUUUAAUUUCAGCCCACUAAACAAAUCAUAACUACUAUUGUCUCUAAUUUUUCGCCUUAACGUCUGACGCUUCACGUGGGUUGAAGAAUCGUUUUUCUUCAAGAAAUCUUCCCCCUCCUUUCUGAAUUUUUUUUGUCCGUAGCUGCUCACUCCCUCUGCAAAUAUCAAAGCAUUCUUCCCGACAAUUUCCGAUCUCACUUGCAGCCUCGUUGCUAUCCGCGUUCCGACAAACUCCCUUUGUGCCUUAGGUCGACUACCUCCAACGCACCCUGUCUCCAUCUCCUCUUCCUGUAACUGGACUUUUCGACAAUCCAUCUUCUUCUUUUUUUGGCCACCGGUGACCGACUCAGAAUCUUUCCUCCGCCGCGGUUUCUGUUCAUCCCCGCCUCGAUUUUCUGUCACAACCCAAUAUGUUUCCAUUCGCCAGCCUCUCUAUGAUCCCUGUACUAAUUCCAUUGCCAUUUUCUUCCUUGUCGUUACCCAUUCUAUCUUACUCCGAUGACCUUCGAAAUUCCUUUAUUCAUCUUCUUCAUUGCCUAGCUUCCUCAUCCCUUCCCUACUUUGAUAUAACUCGCAUGCCACAAAAGAAAGGCAAGGAAAGUAACGUACCUCAACAAAAUCUUGGCCUAUAUAUAUGAUCAGCCUCUCAAUGUUGCCACUCCAAUGAGCCGUUUCUUCUAUUUUCACAGAUCGUAUCCAGGUCGACUUGUUCCACAUAGGUACUGUUUGAUUCUUCUUUUUGUUUUCUUCACUACCACCAAGUAUCAAUGAUCGCUUCCUCAAUCGUUUCUUUGCCUUCCUUCUCAUCCAUAGUGUUUGCCUCCUUUCCCAUGCUUCCGCCUUCUCUGCUCGGUGUUUCCAUUUCCACCAAGUGUUUGUCUCUGACCACCCCACCCUUAGUCGUCGGCCAUGGGAAUACACAGUUAGAUUUGGCUUCCUCUUCCCUUCAUCUUUUUCAUGGUCGUUCUUCGAUUCCUUCAUCUUCAAGUCAUUGUUCCAUUUUUGUUUUUCUUCAACUUUAAUUUUUUCUAGUUUCUUCUCCGCUCUUUCUUUAUCUCUUUGCAGCCCUUCAGAAAGCGUUUGAUGUAUUGUUUUAGCACUCCUCUCUAUUCUUUUUGCCUUGCAAUCCACAAUCCAUUUCUGCAUAUGCUCCCAUGUCCAUGGAGUUUCUCCCCUCUCAUCCACCUCAAGUUUGCAAUUAGCAGCCCAUUUAAGUGCUUGCUCCCAAGUCCCUCUCUCAACUGCGGUCGAGUCUUCUUCCAUCUUUCCUUUCAUUUUCAACACCGAUCCCUCCGACGUAGCAGAUUCUUCCCGUCGGCAACUAACAUUGUUUUCUCGUAAUUCCUCUGCCAGCCUUUCGAUGCUUUUGGACAACUCCAAAGUUACAUCUUUAAGUUCCCUAAUGUCCUUCUCAUUCUUCUCCAACCUCUCCUCCAUUUGUUUUUGCAUCCAAGCCCGUGUCAUCCCCAAGAUGUUACGGCUCUGAUACCAAUUUGUUAGGAUCCCACCUAACAAGGAUUACCUCAAGGAGAAAAGAUGAACUCAAGAAUACUUAAAAUACAUCCAAACAUGAAAUAUAUAUUAGAAGAUCUUAAUAACAAGUAACAAGUAACCCUAGCCUUUUGAGAGGGUUAGACUCUCCUAAGGUUCCCUUACAAGGAAAACUUUCUCAAAAUUCUUCACACCUCUCUCCAACCCCUCUCCCACUAUUUAUAACAAAAAGAACUAACCAACUUACCAUCUAUUUACUAUAUGACCUUACUAACAACCAUUUUCAUUUUCUCCUAAUAAUCCACUAUUUUUCUAUCUAGGGUCCUUACACAUUUCUUCAUGGUGAUCCUCAAGAAGGGGUGUAUAUGGAGCAACCACUAGGGUUUGUUGCUCAGGGGAAGAAUGGAAAGGCGUGUCGCCUUUGUAAAUCUUUGGAUGGACUAAAACAUAGUCCACAGGCUUGGUUUGGAAAAUUUAUUAAGGUGAUCGAAAGUUUUGGAAUGCAAAAGAGCACGUUAGAUCAUUCAAUCUUUUUUAAAAGAUCCGAGAGUGGGGUGAUCCUAAUCGUAGUAUAUGUUGAUGCAAUUGUGGUUGUUGGUGAUGAUGCUUUAGAUGUCCAGUCCCUGAAGACUUUUCUCUAUUGCCAAUUCCAAAUAAAAGAUUUGAGCAUGUUGAAAUACCUCCUAGGAAUUUGAGGUAAAAACAGGCAAGAAAGCAAUACUAUUAUCACAGAGAAAAUAUGGACUUGUUGACUGAAACAUGGAAGGUAGGUGCCAAGCCAUGUAGUACCCCAACGAUGCCUAACUUAUAGCUCACAAAAGAUGGAGAAUUGUUGAAAGAUCUUCAAAGAUAUAGGAGGUUAGAGGGAAAACUUAAUUACCUUCCAGCGAAUCGACUCGACAUAGCCUAUUUAGUGAGUAUUAUGAGCCAGUGUAUGUCAUGCCCUAAAGUUGAUCAUUCAGCUGCUUUGGAAUGAUUCAGUGUUAUCUGAAGGCUGCUCUCGGGCAUGAUUUUAUUAUAUAAGGAUUAUAGUCAUACUAAUAUUGAAUGUUUCUCAGAUGUUAAUUGGUAAAAUCUAAAGAAGACAAAAGAUCAACUUCAGGAUAUUUUGUUUUUGUUGGUGGCAAUUUGAUGUCUUGGAAAAGUAAGAAACAAAAUGUGGUGUCACAUUCAAGUGCAUAAUAAAAAAUAUAGAGCAAUUGCACAGUUUUUGUGUGAAUUGGAUAUAUCAAAUUGAUUUGGAUAUAUCAACUUUUUUACUAUUGUUGAGUUGGGAUUUGAAAUCACCACACCAGCAAAAUUGUGGUGUGAUAAUCAAGCAGCACUUGAUAUCGCAUUUAAUCCGGUGUUCCAUGAAGUUAAUGACAAUUCUAUCACUGGUUCUUUUUGUUCUAUAUCAAGUUCAAUAGCUUUUACCUCAAGUUCCUCUGUACGAUCAUCCUCUUCCACUACUUCCAAUUCCUCCCCAUUUGCUUGAACAACUAACACUCUGAGUUCCUUCUGAUCCUUCACCUUACAUCUAUGGCCUGCACAAAAUUUUUCCUCACAACAAAAGCAGAGCCCUUUCUCACGUCUGGCUUGAAACUCAGCAUCACAAAAAGUCGUCUUGAUGGUCCAUGUGUUAUUUGAAUGGUUGGUGAUGGCCUUUGGCUUAUCCAAUGCACCGAGCACCUUCAUGAGGUUGAUGAACCAGGUGCUCGUUUCUAAACCAGUUCAUAGUGGUUUACUUUGAUGACAUCCUCUUGUACAACAAUAGUACUGAAGACCACAUUCAGCACUUAAGAAAAUUGUUCCAAGUCCUGGCCGAAACUGAACUGUACAUUAAUCCAAAGAAACGUACAUUCCUCACCAAGGAAAUUGUCUUUCUCGGCUUCGUAAUCAAAGAAGGAAAAGUAGGUAUGGAACCAAAGAAGACAGAAGCCAUAAAGUCUUGGCCAAUACCAACCUCCAUCAAGGAGGUACAAGCCUUCCUUGGCUUGGCAUCCUUUUACAGAAGAUUCAUCAGAAACUUCAGCUCAAUAGUGGCCCCCUUAACCGACUGCCUAAAGAAAGGGAACUAUAAGUGGAACGAAGAGCAACAGCAGAGCUUUGAAGAGAUAAAAAGAAGACUAACUUCCAGCCCUAUUCUACAGUUGUCGAACUUCGCAUCACCCUUUGAAGUAGCUGUUGAUGCUUGCGGAACCGGAAUUGGAGCCGAGUUAUCACAGCAAGGCCACCCUAUUGAAUACUUCAGUAAGAAGUUGAGCACAACAAGACAGUCCUGGAGCACUUACGAACAAGAGCUUUAUGCCCUUGUCCGAGCACUCAAACAGUAGGAACAUUACCUCCUAUGCAGGGAAUUUGUACUCCUAACGAACCGCUUCUCUUUGAAAGAUCUCUAGUCACAAAAGAAUAUUACUCGGAUGCACGCACGAUGGAUCUCCUUCCUACAAAGGUUCGACUUUGUCAUUAGGCACCAAAAUGGUAAGGAGAACAAGGUGGCAGAUGCACUAUCCAGGAAGAGCUCCUUACUCACUAUUCUAUCCAUGGAGAUCGAGGCAUUCAAACACUUACCUAACCUAUAUGGGGAAGACGUUGACUUCGCCAUGACAUGGACCAAAUGCAGCCACUACACCAAGGCGGAAGACUUCCAUAUAAUGGAAGGAUAUCUAUUCAAAGGAGAUCAGUUGUGUAUCCCACACACAUCACUUCUAGAAGCACUACUAAAAGAGGCUCAUUCAGGAGGAUUGGCUGGACACUUCGGGCAGGAUAAAACUUUUGAAAUAAUCUUUAAGAGAUACUACUGGCCUUAAUUAAGAAGAUACUGUAACAACUUUAUUAAAAGGUGCCCUAUUUGCCAAAGAGCUAAAGGUUCAAGUAUAAACGCAGGCCUGUACUCACCAUUACCUACCCCAAUUUCCAUUUGAGAAGAUCUAUCAAUUGAUUUCGGGCUCUGAUUACCAAAAACUCAAAGGCAGUAUGACUGAGUCAUGGUUGUAGUCGACAGAUUCAGUAAAAUGGCACACUUUGUGGCUUGUAAGAAGUCAAAUGAUGCCACCUACAUAGCUAAUUUAUUCUGUCGAGAGAUAGUUCGGCUGCACGGAGUACCAAAGACCAUUGUUUCUAAUCGGGAUGUCAAGUUCCUAAGCCAUUUCUGGAAGACAUUAUGGAGCAAAUUUGACACAACCUUGAAUGAAAUAUAGCACAACAUCACACCCUCAAACAGAUGGCCAAACAGAAGUUACAAAUAGAACUGUCGACAACUUAAUAUGCUGUCUUAGUGGAUCCAAACCAAAACAGUGGGACUUAGCUCUUGCACAGUCAGAAUUCGCCUUCAACAAUAUGAAGAAUAGAUCAACCGGCAAAUGUCCAUUUGAGGUCGUAUACACAAAACAGCCAAGACUAACAACCUUUGACCUAGCAUCACUCCCCACAACUAUUGACACUAGCUCAGAAGCAGAAAAGAUGGUAGAAAAGAUUCAGAAUUUACACGAAGAAGUCCAUAACCACCUAAAAGAAUCAACUCAGUCCUACAAAAAGGCAGCAGACAAAAAGAGAAGACAAGCUACCUUUACUGAGGGAGACUUAGUAAUGAUUCACCUCAGAAAAAUUCGAUUUCCAACUGGAACACAAACUGAAAGACAGACAAUUAGGACCAUUUCGUGUCCUAGAAAAGAUUUGAGAUAACGCUUACAGAAUUGAACUACCACCAGACUUGCACAUUCAUCCUAUUUUUAACGUGGCAGACCUGAAACAGUACUAUGCCCCAGAUGAUUUCUGCCUUGUCAACUAAGUCACUCGGGUCGAGUUCCAUGCUAGGGGGUGGAAUGAUGUAAUAUAGAAUGCCAUGGCUAAACAGCUGUAGUUAGUUAGUAAAACAGUUUAAAUAAUUAAACUGUUUAGCUGUUAAGACUGCAAUUAAAACUGUUUCAUAAAAACAGUUAUUUCAACUACUUGUAACUACUUACAAUCCUCAAUAUAUACUCCAUCUCUUAGCCACUAUUGGUGGAGAAUUCAUUGUGAAAAACUAAGUCCAACUUGAAUUACAUCAGUUUAUUAAGUCUGUUGAUUUGUGGAUGAACUAAAACAUAUACAUCUUUUCUAAAAAGGAUAAAAAAAACUUGCAUAAGUUUUCAUUUUCACAACUCUAUGAUUUGUGAUCAAUGCAGCAAGGAGCAGCUGGCAAACAAAUUUCUUUAUGCCAUAAAUGCGGAUGCUGGUUUUGAUCUAAGCUAAUGGUAAGUCGUACCCUGCUCAAUAUUCCUUCUAUUCUCCACUUCAUCCUUCGCCUUGGCCAUAAUUUCCAAUCAUACAUGGAAUUUACUUUGGUUGAUUAUUUUUUUCUUUCUUUUGGAUAAGGAUAUCCUGGUCUUGCCCUUAUCAUGGAAGAUUCUUGUAUAUCUUUCAUCCCAUACUUUGGUUGAAUUUUGGAACAUUAAUGUAUCGCCUGACAUUCAUAAAUACACUGUCAUAAUUUUAAAUCUGCUGUCUUCCUACAUUAUGCAUGUUUUUCUGUUAUUGAAGAUGCUGCCCGGUUGUGCUAAAAGUUCUCAGUCACAUUCUAAAUUUUUCUUUAGUUCUCAAGCAGUCAUGUUAAAAGAUCUCAAUCACAUUAAGUGAUUUUUGACAGGAUGUUGUUGUUUUACCCUUCUUCUUGUUGAUAUACCUUUCGUAACAUCCUUUCAUCCCUAAUCUCAUCCUCGACCACAACCACUGCUUUGACCACGAUCGUCUCUCCGAAGAUUUGUGAGGUAUGUUCUUGGAUUGGUUUGACAUUCUACUUUUCUCCCAUUCUCAAUAAAUACUAAUCACCGCUUCAUCUCUAAUCUCAUCCUCGGCCAUGCCCUGAUUUUGUCUAAUUUUGUUUUCUGUUAUUUUGUGAAAUUCUUAUUUUUCUUGUGAUCUUUACAUGUAGAGAUAGGAAGAAAUAUCAUGCUCCAAAUACUAGUCCUUAUGUUUCAAUUGGCGUUAGAUUUAUUUAUGUGUCCCAAGAAAAUCGAUCACAUUGCACGAUACCUUGAGCUCCUUCGGUAAAAUCUGAAUCAAAAGUGCCUCCACUACUCAUUGUAAACAUUGAUCAGUCGAUUAAGGAUCCUCUAGAAUCUGAUCUUAAUACCGCUUUCAGACAAGGGAGGAUUUAAUUACUGAGAAACAAGUCUCUUUAUUUCCCUCACAAGCUCGACAAUGUGAAGUUCCAGAUCGCUUGAAGUCAAUUGUUGAGCAAUGUGGAACUACUUUGGUUUGAGUAUAGAAUAACUUGAUCUUGGUUUUUCAGCCAAUUAUCUUUUAGGUUUGUUUUAGUGGAUCACAUGAGGUUCGACGAAUGCUUUUAUUAUUUUGGCCCUCUAAAGUUCUUAUGAAAUAUUCUGGUUCUAGUCACUCACUCAAGAUCGAAGGAUGACUUGGGAGGGAUAUUUUUUUCAACAAAGCUGCAUUGUUGUUAGCUCUCCCUUGGUGUUUCCUUCCAUCUAGUUUGAAGUUUUUAGUCUGCAAUUUUCAGCUGAUUUUGGGCUUCUUGUUGAAAGGUUUUAAGUUCGCUUUGUUCUCAGUUUUCUAUUGUUUUCUCAGGAUUUUGAUUGUUUUGUUCAAUUUGUCUGUACUUUUGUUUUGGUCAUUCUUUUCGCUCUUAGUAUAAUUCUCCUAUAGUUUGAGCAUUAGUCUCUUUUUUACUUACAUCUUUAAUAAAAAGGGUUGUCUCUGUUUCAAAAAAAAAUAUGAACAAUUAUUUUCAGAAAAAGGCGCCUGAUUAAUAUGUUUGUCAAAUUUCGAGAAGAGGGAUAUAAGGACUAAUUUUUUAUAGCAAAAGUUAAUCAUAGAUUAACAGUUGGGGAGUAAUUUUAAGAAAAUAAAAUAACCUCUCUGAAUUCUAUACCUCUACAUUGUGAAAAUUGAGGCUAAAUGACGGGGUUCUGACCAAGUAUACAUUUAUAUUAAGUUUCUUCUCUCAAAGCUUAUAAAAUACAUGCCAAUUGACAUAAAAAUGAAGAAAACUUAAUGAUAAAAAGACUUGGUGGGUUGGGUCCAAAAGUUUUCUUACCCCAACCCAUGAACCCUAGAUAGUUUUAUGUCGCAAGUUGGUAAAGAUGGAGUUACUGUACAAAAUAAUUCCUUUGAGGUAGUUUGGGUUUGAUUAUCACUCACAUUGAGGAAUGCAACCGUACAUGGCUGAUCCAAAUUGCCACAUCAGCUAAAAGUACUACCUUUAGGAACUAGUUCGAAGUUUCAUUCUUUCAUAAUAAGAAUCAUAACUUUUCAUGAAUAUGUGAAAAGUUACAUUGUAAUUCCAACCUUCGAAGGACCAAGUAUUUAAACAACAACAACUCUCCCAGCAUAUUUUCGAAGAGAUUUUUGGAAUUGGUUUCAGAACAAGCUUAUCUUUUAUUUUUGAUUGAAUACAACAAAUAUAUUUAUGUUUAUAUGCUGAGGAAGCAAGGCUAUUCAAGGUAGCUUCUCAUCUAAGAUAUAUUGAUGUCUAUCCAAUGAGAGGAGUUUGGCAUCCUAAGAAUCCCGAGAAGACUUUAGUCUUUGCUCAUUGGGAUUUCUAAAUGGAAAAGCUCAGAGUAUUUCUUCAAUUUAUUUUUUGUUACCUGUAUAUAAGUUAGAAAGGACCAUUCCUAGAGUAAUAAAUUAGAGCUUCUUUAGUAGGAAAGAAAAAGAUUAAUAAACUCUAUAGGUUGUUGAUGAAAUAUUAAAUGAUAUUAAAAUGAGUGAUUUCUAUUGCCUUCUCUGAAUCUGUAGAACCACUUUUCAUUUCACAUGGGAGGACUAUUUGUUAUAUUCUUUAUAUUAGAAUAUUGAAUUAAUUAGAAAGUUGACUUUGAUUUUCUUUUCCAUUCAGACAGUUCCAUUAGGUUAUGGGCACUAAGUGGUGAAACAUUGAUGGAGAUGGUUGGUGACACUUCCAUUGUGUAUUCAGUGGAUUCACAUGCUUCCGAAGUCAUUGUUAGUGGGAGUGAAGAUUGUUCGGCAAAGAUAUGGAAAGGUUAAUACUUCAAUCUAUAGGAGUUCGUCAGUUUUUGUUAUUCCUUUCUUCUUCUUCUAGCGUGGAGUUAUAGACCACUAUAUCGUCCAGAUAGACCACCACAAACUUGUUAAGGUAUUCAUGGAAGACCUGGUUCAUUAGCGUACAGAACGUUGCAGGCGCAUUGGUAAGACCAAAUGGCAUGACAAGGAACUCGAACGCCCCAUACCUCGUAACGCAUGUGGUUUUGGGCUCAUCCUCUUUGGCAAUUCUUACUUGAUAAUAGCCCGAUCGCAGAUCUAGCUUCGAGAAAUACUUUGCUCCAUGAAGGCGAUCAAACAGGUCAUUGAUUAUUGGUAGCGGAUAUCUGUUGCGGACCGUGAUCUUGUUUAGGGCGUGGUAGUCGAUGCACAACCGCAUACUUCCAUCGUUCUUCUUCUGGAAAAGGACUGGAGCUCCAUAUGGAGCUUUUGCAGGCCUCACAAAUCCUGCGUUCAGCAGUUCGUCCAGUUGUUUCCGAAGUUCGGCCAACUCAGCGGCGCCAUACGAUAAGCAUUCUUCGCAGGCGGCUUUGCCCCUGGCAGCAAUUCGAUCUCAUGGUCGAUCAUUCUCCACGGAGGCAAUGAUUUCGGCAGGCUGUCUGGCAUCAGAUCCUUGUACUUCUCUAAGACACUCAGGAUGUCUUUGGGGACUGUUUCCCUUGAGCUUUCCAACGACUCCAGUGGGAUAGCCAUAAAGGUUAAAUCGUCACGAGCAAGGCCUUUCUUCAACUGCAUAGCCGAGAUCAUCUAUAUCCCAUAUGGCUGACGAAUCUCCGUUUGAACAACAGUAGGCGUUGUUCCAGUAAUCACUAGACAUUUGGCUAGUGGCAUUGGUAUGACUUGAUGCUCAAGUAGAAACUCCAUACCUAGUACCACGUCGAAGUCAUCCAUCUUUGCAACCACCAAAUCUAUGGGACCGCUCCACUCUCCCAUCCUCAUGGUCGUUCGUUUUACCAACCCGACGAUAGGUAGGGCAACUGAGUUCACGGCCUUCAUUUUUUCUGCGUCUUUCUUCCAACGGAGAUUCAGUCGUCUGGCUUCCGCUUCUGCAAUGAAGUUAUGAGUAGCACCAGAAUCCACCAUAGUGCUCUUGGGUGGCUUCUGGUUGACCCAACAGUCUACGUACAUGAGACCAUUCUUUGCCUGUCCACUGGUCUCCCCCAUCUUCUUCUGGAGCGAUGACAGAAACUUUAAGGCCUCCAUCCGAGGAUUCUCACCCUCUUCUAUCUGUCCAACGUCUCCUUCAGUCUGACUCAAUCUAUCAUCUGAGUCCGAGGCUAGGGUAGCUUGAAAAGCGUUGAAGGCGGUACGGUUGGGGCACUCUCUGGCAAGAUGGGGCCCUUUACAUAUGAAACAACUGAUGGAACGACCGGAGUUGUUCUGAUUGUUUGGUCCUCGCCAGUUGUUUCCUGUAUUCGCUUGGAAGGGCUUGCGAUCUCCACCUUGUCGCUUGUCUCCCUCUGCAGUCUUCGGGGAAUUUGGGCGGUUGUUUCUGUUUCCUCCAGAGGAGGAAGCUUGAUGUCGUCUUGCAUCUUGAGAUUCGCUAGAUAAGUCAAACAACCGUUCAGCCACUGCGUAUGCUGACGUGAGGUCUUGAAUUCGUUUCUCAUACAACUUGGUCCUAGCCCACGGCUUCAAGCCCUCGACAAAACAUAAAACUGUCUUUCUCGGUCAUGUCGCGUAUGUCCAACAUCACCCCCGCAAACUGUUUCACGUAGUCCUGAAUGUUUCCCGUGUGCUUCAAUUCACGCAGCUUCCGUCGGGCUAGAAUUUCGACAUUCUCAGGGAAAAAUUGCGAACGAAGUUCUCCUUUUAGGGCAUCCCACGUGUCGAUUGUGCAACGCCCUUCUUGAAUGUCCAUGUAUCGGGACCUCCACCAUAACUUCGCAUCUUCUGACAGAUGCAUGGUUGCCAACGUCACCUUGGCCUCUUCAGUAAUUGUGUUCGUGGCUUUGUAAUACUGCUCGACAUCAAAGAUGAAGUUUUCCAAUGCCUUGGCAUCUCUCGCCCCACAGAAGGGCUUGGGCUCAGGAACCUUGAUUCUGCCCACAGGAAUGGCUCCUCCAGCUGGAGCCUGGUUUGCUAGUUCUCGUAUAGUAAGGUUCACCCUCGUGUUUACCUAUGCGAGCUCAUUCCUCACGACAUCGAGGGUUGCUCGAAAAUCCUCUGUCAUGCCGUUGAUCAUCUCCAACAUGUUCUUUUGCGAGUUAUCAAGCUCCAUAACUCGUUCUUCCAUCUGGGCAAUAGAGCCCGAUGAACUGUCCCCAAGCUCGUAGGCGACAUUUCCCGUUUCAUUACUCGGGACUCUAGAGUGUCGACUCUAGUCAGUAACUCUUGGAUGGGUAGUCCGUCAAGGCGAUCGGACACGGCUUCAAUGCCAUCAGCUUUCUUGGCAAUAUCCUCAAGCCGCUGUUCCAAGAACCGGAUGGAAUCAGGAACUUCCACCAGGUAGAGCAUCUGCUCUUCGAUUCCCACAAGUCGCUCAUCAUGGGUCUUGCUAGACUGUUUCGCCACCGACAUCUUUCUGUCACGCACUGUCAACUAGCCAACCUGGCUCUGAUACCACUUGUCACAAUCGUAAUUCUUCAAACACGAUGUGAACGAUUGUGCGGCACUUGUUCUAGCUCGACGAACAAGUCAGCCGAUCAAAAUCCACAAAUCGCGGACAACUUUAACACAUGCUUCAACCUCCCCUCACGUUCUUGGAAAAUAUUUUUAGAAAACGUGAAAGAUGAUUAAAUUGAUUGAAAACAUUGUUAAAACAAGCAUUGAAGACUGUCAAUUGCAAUAAGAAAGCAUAGAUUGCAAAGAGUACGACAAGGCUUGGGCGGGGAUUCAACAGGUAUGCCUCCCCUAUAGUACAUUUUUAACAUUUUCAUCUCUGGUAGGCUUGCAUAUGAAAAUGCCGAAACGUCACACCCAAGCAUAUCGACUUGAAAUUUAAAGCAACUACCUAAACUACAUACAAGACAUAAAGACAAGAUAAAUUGGGGCUAAUCGGAGCAUACGGCCAUAGGUAAACACACCUUGGACAAGUAUGUCCGUUACACUAGGCCUCCAAUCACCCAAGUUUACCAAAGGAGGGGUAAAAAUAAAAAUUCCACCUAGACAACAUGGUUGUUAGGAUGACCAGUGGUCCUAACAACACGUGGCAGCAGCAGAAAGGGAAUAUAUAUAUAGGCGUUUUUUGCUAGGGCUGAUUAUCUUGGUUAUUAUGUAUUUUGAAUGAACGUUGUUCAUUGGGGAGAGAGCAGCCCUCUUACUUGGUUGAAGCUUAUGAUUCCAUAUUGAAUAUAUAUACACACAUAUAUCAGCUUCUCUCCAUUGUACUGUGUGUUUGUGAGUGUGCUGGAAAUAUUCUUUGUAUUUGUGUGGGUGUGGGUUGAAUCUUUUGCAGGUGAAACAAGAACCUACCAGGGGGGACCACUUUGGUAGGGCCGGGAGUUAGAGGAAAGAGAUAAAAGAAAGGAAGCUACAGAGGGAGGGGGUAUGGAACUUUGAGGAAGGAAAUCUACAUUACUCCUUGAGAGAGGGAAAGCAGAGGGUCCAAGUUCAUCUUUGAAUUGUUCUUGAGUCUUUUAUUUGGUUGCUAUUAGUUUGAGUAAUUUUUGCUUUGAAUCUGUAAUCGCGAUCAAUACUCUAUUGAUCCACGAAGAGUCUCAAUAAUUCGUGUAAGUUUUCAUAUUAUAUCAACAUAUACGAACACUGCUGUGGUGUUCUAUCAUAAUUCUGAGAUACUGAGCUUCGUUUAAGAUCCUUCACUGUGGCCAAACCGAGUUUGUGAGUUGAACCUUUCAUGUAUUUAUGAGAAAUGUUUCUCUAUCUAUUUGAAGUCUGUUUGAUGGAGCAUUUGGUUGGGAAGAGAUGACUAACUUUUAGUGGAAAGGCGAAGGACUGGUGAAGCCCUGAAGGGGUGUUGAAGUUGGCUAAAGUUUAUGUGUUGAAUUGAAUUUCUUUAAGAGAGUGGGUUUUUUUUUUUUUUUUUGUAGCUUGAUUUUUAAAUUUGAAUUAUGUUUAUUAUACUAUAAUUAUUUAUAAACCCUAAACCCUAAUAGCAUUUUAGUAUCACGAAGUUGGAUUAUUUUGUUGCAGAUGGAAUUUGUGUCUAGAGCAUUGAGCAUCCUGGUUGCGUUUGGGAUGCCAAGUUUUUGGAAAAUGGAGAUAUUGUCACAGCUUGUUUAGAUGGAGUAGUACGUGUCUGGACGGCAGAACAGGAAAGAAUUGCUGAUCCCCAAGAAUUGGAGUUAUUUGCUUCAAGACUGUCUCAGUAUAAGUUGAAGAGGUGCCCCACAACAGCUGCCACACACACACACACACACUCACAAAGAGGAAGUUCCAAAAUCCUUUGGUACAUCUCUCUUUCUCUCUCUCUCUCUCUCUAACUUAUUUUGACUUUUUGAGGCAAAAGCAUGAUUUUGAGCAUAUCUAAAAUAAUGUCAGUAUAGAAUAUAUUCUGUUCUGAGUAUGAUUUUAGCGACUUAUGUACAUCUUUAAUUUAUUUGUUCAUACCUCAUGAUAAUGUGCACUUUUAUUCCUAUGUUGACUGUUGGUCUUCUAUUUGAUAAGUUGUCUCUAAUUUACUUGUGUUAGGAAGAGGGUUGGAGGAUUGAAAUUGGAAGAAUUACCUGGGAUGGAUGCUUUACAAAUUCCAGGUCUGGUUACACUAUUCCAUUUUAAUAAGAAGCCAAGAUGCUAUCCGCUUCUAUACCUUUUUCCUUUUACCCCUUAAUUUCAUGAAUCUUUGUUGCAAAGUGGAUGGGUGGCAAGGUUUUCUUUUUCUUGAUAUUUGUGAGAUUCUAGGCCAGCUCACACACCCUCGACUAAUCUCACGGGAUAAUCCGCUUGACCCUACAACAUUUGGGUGUUAAGGAAACUCAUAGGAAAUUAAUUUACAGCUGCCACACACACACACUCACAAAGAGGAAGUUCCAAAAUCCUUUUGUUCAUCUCUCUUUUUUUUUCUCUCUCUCUAGCUUAUUUUGACUUUUUGAGGCAGAAGCAUGAUUCUGAGCAUAUCUAAAAUAAUGUCAGUAUAGAAUAUAUUCUGUUCUGAGUAUGAUUUUGCCGGCCUGUGUUAUGUUUAACGCCUUUCUUUUUGCUUCUAGGCUGUACUGGAGCUUGUCAUAAUCUUCCCAUGUUGCCUCAUGAGGAGGGAGACCUUGCCAUUUAAUCAAAACCUCACAGCUUCCUCUUUUAUUCUUCGAGUACCCAAAUAUUUCCUCCGGUAUAGAUUUCCACUCGUGAGUUUCAGUAACGUAAGGCAGCAUGUCUGUCUGUACAAGUUGAUGAUCACCAACCAUUUUUUUGAGUUGGGACACAUGAAACACUGGAUGGAUGGAAGCGGAUGCUGGCAACUCUAGCUUAUACGCAACCAGUAUGAUGCGUUCCACAAUCGUAUAAGGCCCAAAGAACUUGGGGGAUAGUUUCUCAUUUUUCUUUUGUCGUAAUGAGAUCUGUCUAUAGGGCCUAAUCUUCAGGAAGACCAUAUCGCCAACUGCAUACUCCACAUCAUGACGCUUCAAGUCUACGUUAUUUUUCAUCUUGUCUGUGCGACGAAUUAGUGUUCUUUUAGGACUCCCAGAAUUUCAACUCAUGCCUUGAGCUAUUCGUUUAAGGUAGUGUUUGGAGUGUCCCGGUCACCAUAAAACAUCAAUGGUGGUGGCAUACGUCCAUAGAUAGCCUGAAAUGGAGUGACCCCUACGGAUCUCUAAAAAGUAGUGUUGUACCAAUAUUCAGCCCAAUGUAUCCAUUUUGACCAUUCCUUAGGCCGUUCUCCACAAAAACAUCGCAGAUACGUCUCCACUCCCCUAUUAACCACCUCAGUUUUCCCAUCCGACUGAGGGUGAUAAGCGGUGCUUCGAUUUAAUCGGGUGCCUGCCAUUUUGAACAUUUCUUGCCAAAAGUUGCUCAAGAAUACCUUAUCUCGGUCGGACACUAUCGAUUUGGGAAAGCCAUGAAGUCGGACAAUCUCCUUAACAAAUAUAUUUGCUGAAUCUGUCCACCACUACAAAGAUGACUUCGAAACCAUUCGAUCUUGGUAAGCCCUCGAUAAAGUCCAUAGAUAUAUCGCUCCAAAUAUUGUUUGGACUGUCCAGGGACAGCAGCAGUCCGGUGGGGGAUAGUGCUAGGGAGUUGUUCUUCUGACAUAUUACACAUUCCUCACAAUACUUCUUAACAUCCGCCUUCAUUCCUUCCCAAUAUAGCUCACCAGUUGGUCGUUUGUAUGUGCAUAAAAAUCCAGAAUGGUCUCCAAGUACCGAAUCAUGGUAAGUAUGUAGGAUUGUGGGUAUCAAUGUAGAUGUUUUGGACAGCACAAACUUAUCCUUAUAUCUUAACAUACCUUGUCGGAUGGAGAAUUUACCCUCUGUUCCUUCUUCCAUUGCUUGUAGUUCUUCCAUUAUUUUGCUCAACUUUUCAUCCGCUUCGACUUCCUUUUUAAUCACCAGAAUGUCAACCAAUGUAGGAGCUGUUAUGCUACCGAGGUUAACUGUAGGAGGCAUCCAAGACAAGGCGUCUGCUGCUUUAUUCUCCAAGCCGGGUUUGUAGACCACCUCAAAUGAGUAUCCCGUUAGCUUCGCUACCCAUUUCUGAUACUGAAGCUGUAUCACUCUUUGUUGUAAUAAGAACUUCAAGGAUUUCUGAUCGGUCUUCACAAUAAAUUUUCUUUCCAACAGAUAUGGUCGCCAUCGUUGCACAGGCAAGAUUACUGCCAUUAAUUCCCUUUCAUAUACAGGCUUGGCCCUAUCUCUUAAGGCUAACGUAUGGCUAAAGUAUGCUAUGGGGCGCUUGGCUUGGACGAGUACGACUCCUACCCUAUAUCUCGAUGCAUCUGUUUCCAUUUCAAAGGUGGCAUUGAAAUCAGGCAACACCAAAACGGGCAGGGUCAUCAUGGCAUUCUGUAGUUGUUGGAAUGCCUCCUUAGACUCCUCAGUCCACUGGAAUCCCCCUUUCCUAAGUAGUUGAGUCAAUGGUGCGACAAUGAAGCCAUAGUGCUGAACGAACUUUCUUUAGUAACAGGUGAGGCCUAGUAAUCCUCGUACCUCUCUUAUAUUACUGGGUAUAGGCCAUUCCCUGAUUGCUCUGAUUUUCUCGGGGUUCACUUCAACUUCUUGUCCUGAAAUGAUAUGACCCAAAUAAUCAAUACGUUCUUGCGCGAAGCUGCACUUCUUCUGGUUUGCAUAUAACUCAUUCUUUCUCAGGAUUUCCAAUGCUAACCCAAUGUGCUUCAGAUGAUUUUCCAAGUUCUCACUGUAGAUUAGUAUGUCGUCGAAAAAUACUAAUAUGAACUUCUGCAAAAAUGGUUUAAAUAUUGAGUUCAUUAGAGCUUGGAAAGUGGAUGUGGCAUUAGUUAAGCCGAAUGCCAUAACCAUAAAUUCAUAGUGUCCAUCAUGUGUUCGAAAUGCUGUUUUUUCGAUGUCUUCUCCACACAUUUUGAUCUGAUGGAACCCCGCCUUUAAAUCAAUCUUUGAAAACCAGUUUGCUCCAUUUAAUUCAUCGAAAAGCUCCUCAACCACCAGAAUAGGGAAUUUUUAUCUUCAAAAAGUUCACCCAAAUCAAUGAAUGAAUAACCAUGUUAAUUGACUGGUUCUUUUUUUUAUUUUAUUUUGACAUAAUUACAACUAAGAUGCACUUUUUUAUUGAAAAGAUACAAGUAAGAGGGUAAAUUUUGAGUUUUCUCACUAUAUAUGUUGCCAAAAAACCUGGUGUAAAGUGUAAGUAUUUUCUUAAUAAUUUCAUUUAAACCAUGCUCAAUUCUACGCAAUAUGAGUUUUGGUCCUUUAUUAUGAAAGUGCAUAUUUAGAUUUGGUUACGAAUGUUUUGUUUUAUGAAAAAAUCAUUUGUGACUAUUGUUUCAAUCUUUUCAAUUGAAACACGUGCACAUAUUCACGUGAAAUAUCUUAAUUCUAUUUAAUUUUUAAAUAUGCUUUAGCAUAUAAUAAACAAAUAUUAUACAAUAUUAAUGGUAAAAUUAUUAUUUAAAAAAGAAAAAGAAAUUCAUUGUUGUAGUAAUUAAAUAAUUGAAUUAAUGUAUUAAUAUUUGAUCCAAUAUUGUAAUAUAUAGAAUACGAUAAUUUUUUAUUCUAAUAUGUCAAUGUGAAAUCACAAGAAAUGAUGCAAUUUUUCACCAUUCGUUACUACUUUGAAUCAAUUAAAUCCCCUUUUGUGUGUGUUUGUUUUCUUUUGAACUUUGGGAUUUCGUGACGUUUUUUUUUUCUAAUGUGUAACUGCAAGAGUUUAUUUUGUUUUUCUUUUACACGUACAUUUUACAUGUAAGUUUGGAGGAAUCAAUGCACCAAUUUGAUGUGUGUGCAACCAUCUCCACUCUAAACAGAAUGCAUCGUAUCUCGAAGAUCAACUAGUCACAUCCUAUCAAUAUUAGUUACACAUAUUCGACAUAAGGUUUUAUUUUUUAAAAUAUAGAACUUUAUUUUGUAAACUAAAAAAUUGGAAAAAUCUUCUUUCCAAACAUUAAAAUGGACACUUACAAUAGAAAAGUCACAACUACGUUAGAUCACAAAAAGUAAUAUAAAUUUUUUUCGACAAUUUAAGAAUAAAAUAGAUGUAUAUAAUUUUUUUUCUCCACGAGCGCAUUUAAUAUAGUAGAGAUUUCAACGCUGAUUACAAAUUUAGUUUACAUCAUGUCAAGGUAAUAUUACUCUGUAUUUUUUUCCCUAAAAGAAGGUGUCCAUAAAUUUGUAACUUUUUGCUACUAAACCCAACUUUAAUUAGUGUUUAUGUAAUGUUUUAAAAUAUUUAUAAAAUAUAGUACAACUUUAGUAAUUUUUCAUCGGCAGGAAAUUAUCUAUUAAUAUAAGUCUAUUAGUGUCUAUUAGGAUAUUAUAUUUUCAAAUCUCGUCUUUUAUUUAGUUAUUUUGAUUAGUUGGAAUUAUCUAUUAAUUGAUUUUUUUUAUCUAAUUUUAAAUUUUAACCAAAGUAAUCAAUUCCGAUCACCAUCCCACUGUAAUGUUAUUAUUUUAAAAAUUAAACUUCAUUUUAUUUAUUGAUUAAAAUCUUCAAGUACAUAGCCUUCAAAGAAGAUUGGAUAUAACCAAAAUAAUGCUGCAUAUAUCAUUUAGAGUCUUGCCAUUCUUCAAAAGCAACGAUGUAUCCUUAGGCGGCUGUGCGAACUUAUCCUGACAGUCACCAAUAUUAGUCAUGGCACCAGAAGUUACAAUAUUGACACCAUUAAAGUCCCCAAGUGCCAAGUCCUUUUGGGCAUUUUCAAUGUCACCAAUAGCUUCAUCAUAGCUCUCAGCACAAGACGAAUAUCGUUGCUUAAGUUGAGGAUUGGUGGCGGUUUUUGCCAGUGAGUUGGCUAAAGUCAAAGAUUUUUCAGCAUUUGUAUGAGCAAGGUUUAAGGUGUAUACAGCCAAGCCUUUUAGAUUUGUAGUGCCCGCAGAUUUCAACACACUUGAACAAAAUUGUGGAUUUGAGGUUUUUGGACAGAUGGUGGAAACGACGUCAUUAGAUGAUGCCACAUUUGAAAUGAUGGUGAACGAAAGAACUCCAACGAGAGAGAUAAUAAUGAGACAAGAGUUAUUGGCCAUUUUAAUUUUUCUUUGUUGUUUCCCGUCCUUAUUGAUAUGAUUCAUUUGAUAAAUACAUAUAUAUAUAGAUGAAAUUUAGAGAAAUUGUUUGUUUUUCUUAUGGAGGAGAAAUGGCAGUUGUGAUUACAUAACUAAAUAACCCAUUCUAGUCUUUUGUUUGGUACUUUUAUCUUGAAAUAGCCCACCCAAAUCAAUUCAUGAAUAAUCACAUUAAUUGUCUUUUUUUUUUUUUACAUAAUUACAACUAAGAUGGGUUUAUUUUUAUUUUUAUUCAAAAGAUACGACUAAGAUGUUAAAUUUUGAAUUUUCUCAUCAAUCCAUUAGAGGUGACCUAUGCUCCAAUCUUUUCUUACCAACAAUUUAGGCCUUAUAAGUGUAUAGAAAAUUGAACAGUGAAUAGGAUAGUUAGGCUUUGUAAAACUUACAAGUUACAUAGUCCAAACUCUGAUGUCUCUUCCGUUCCUGUCCUGCUUUGAUUUUACCCCCUUCUUUUCUCAAAUACAUUUUUCUACAUUGUCGUUUCUUCUUCUCUAACUCAUUUUUUCCAAUUAUAUAACAUGUCCGUAUGUACCAGAAAUACAGUGAGCGGAAUUCAUGGAAGUUUUUCCCUGUUUCAAGUUCUAAGGUAUGUGCCUCCAGACAUCCCAGAAGUCAAUAUCCUAGUGCUUUCUGUAUAUAUAUUGAAGAAUUUUCGUUGUUUACUUUUCUGGCUGAAAAGGGGGGACACGAAACUUAUGUGACAGAAAUCAAAGGAUAACGUGUCUACAGUAAAUCGAAAUAAGAGUCUGGUUUUCAUUGAGUUCAACGUAUUCCUCAAACAGAAACACAGGGCCGUAUGCAUACUUCUACGACUACAGUAGUCAUCAUGCUAGAGGUAAACUAUUCCAUAAGUUCACUAUAAAUUGUGAAAUAAGAACUGUCUGAUACUUGUCAAAUAAGAAUUGCAUGCGUUAAUCAGACUAAUGUGUGGUAGAAUAUUACCUGAAUUUGCUAAGUUUGUCCUGGACAGUUGUCUAAUGUUAAUUCUUUCCCCAUUUCCUUUAUAGGUCCCUGAUAUGCUAUUGUGCUCCAUUUUUGCCAUUAACAAUUAUAAUGUGAAAAGCUAUCUCUCUGUUAAAAAUACCUAGAUGAUGGAUUAAUGUGGAGUGGCCGAUUAAAAUGUUCUGUCAUAUCACACCAGUGCCUUAACAUGAAAAUCCAAGUGCAUUACUAUACAGUUAUCCUUAUAUAUAGUUGAUAUUCAUAGUGUUCGUACUGUUUCUCUGUAGGAGUGUUAACAAUUUAGAUAUGAUAAUUUCUCUUAUUUGACUUUGUUCUCCGUUGCAUUUGCAUCUUGAUCAGCUAUGUUUAUCUUGAUUUGUUGAGCUUAUGUUAUUAUUGCAUCUAGGCAGAUGAAGUUGAAGUAGUGAUUGAUCCGAAGGACAUUGAACUGACUACUGCAAGAUCUGGGGGCGCAGGAGGUGUAACUUUACUUCAAAUAUUGCUUGCAAUUAGCUCUCUGAAUUUGUUCUCAUAAAACCAAAAAAAUGGUAGAAUAACCUUUCUAUUUAUUUCUCGUUGUCAAUAAUUAUGCAGGGCGAAAUGUCAACAAGGUGGAGACAGCAAUUGAUCUUUCCCCAAGCCGACAGGAAACCACAUUUUUUGCACUGAAGAAAGGACUCAACUUGAGAAUAAGAUUCGGGCUUUUCUAUUGCUACGAGCCAAACUAUGAGCAUCCAUUACAAUCAUAGCAUUUCUCACAUCAUCGUAUAAAUUACGUGAAUGUGCACCUCAUUCAUACAAUUUAUGUAUUUUUCUUUUUAUGAGUACAAAUUCGGGGUAGAGGGAUUUAAACCCGAGACCUCUUGGUUCUAAGUACAUACAUACAGGCGUUAGUUGAGCUUGGUUGACAAUUUCUAUACUUUUUUAAGUAACAAAUAAUUGGAGAAAUUUUGUGGCUAUAUUUAUGAUUUUUCUCAAAGAACUUAAGGAUCUUUAUUUCCAUUUCUAUAUAUUGUGGGAAUUUUUGCAGACAUUGAUAUGGGUGAAACAAAGAAAGUAAGCGAACAAACUAAUAUUGGACAGUUGGAGUUCAGCCCUGCACGACCCUUUGACAAAGCCCUUCCCUCACUUCUAGCCACCAUUGUCCAUUGUUCACACCUAACACAACCUAGUGGUAGCAUGUCACUUCCUCCUUGCCAGCCAGUUCACCCCAGCCUGUAGGUCAGUCAGCCUGUUAUAAAAGAAAAAAAUCAAUUUUUAUGUUCUCCCCCAACCGACAGUGAGCUUCACGGUGACAUCUAUUCUAAUCUACACUGACUUUCACCCUACUUCGACCACAACCAGACUUUCAUAGUUAAUAGGGUGGUAAUUUUGCUGGUUUCGACAUUAUGUACAUGCAUGAGUUUAAUCACCCCUCCCUCCUCUUUUCCUUUUCAGUUAUGAGAUUAAAGUGAGGGAAUGACAAGAGAAGAUCAUGAACCAACGAAAAUUACAGGUAAUUAUUGUUUUUCUUUUUUUCCUUAACUCUUUUUAGCCUUUGGAAAUAUUUAGCAAAGAACUCAUGUAUGAUCUGCAUUGAGACUGUUCUUGAGUUGCUUUCAUCAGACAAGUUUAUGAAGUUCUUGUUGUUGGUUUGUCAUGAUUUUGUUUCAAUUUUUCUGGGAAACUAAGAGUUGUUACUCUUGAUUUUUUUUCGAGUAUUUCUCAGUCUAAGAGUAAUUUAUCACUAAGCACAUGAUUUUGUUGGUAACAUGCAAGAUACAACCUGAAUGGAAUAUCAAAUACCAUAAUGUAUUUGUCAGAUCAUGCAAGACAAUUAUACAAGCAGAUAAUUAUGCUUAUAGUAGCAAUCAACAAUAAAAUUAUUUUUAAAAUUUAUUUCAGUGUUCUAAUUACCUUGUUAUCCUAAUUCCUAUCUUCUUUCGCCUUGCAGAUGUGUUGAAAUUUGUUGUCAGAAUCUGUUUGAAUGAUGAACUUCAUGCAUACAAUUGUUGUGGUUGUCACAACUGGAAUCUAUUAAACAAAAUCAAAUACUUGAUAAUAACUACCUCUCCACACUGUUAUGUUUCUUGUUUUUUCGUUUUCAAUAAUUUGAUCGGUUUUAGACUUUUGGUUUAUUUUCAAUUAGAAGUAAAUGAAUGAAGGAAAAAGAUAACAGAAAAAGUUGAUUUUACUUUUACUAUCAUUUUCCUAUGCUUUUUAGUUUAUGGGGAUAGAUAUUUGUUGGUGUUCCUUUUCUUAAGUUAGAAGAAAAAAGUUGGGGCAUAACUUUACAUGGACAAUCAAGUCAUUUUUUUUCUUAAUUUGUGUCUUUUAUAGCUAAAAGAAGAAAACUUAAGAAUUACAUAUAAGUAGUAUAAAGUCCUAAUAUAAGCUUGAUAAAAAAAUUUCCUUUAAUUUUUACUCUGUUUAUAAACUUAUGAGGUUACAAAUUGCAAUAUAUUUUCUAAUACCAUAUUAUGAAUAAUUUGGAUAGCUGGUUGUGUUUGAAAACUAUAUCUUCUUCCAUCGUCAUUGGUUUAUCGUUGCUUUCUUUUCAUUUUUGUUAAAUUCAACAAAUAUCAAGUUGAUGUGACUUUUAUUGUAGGAUAUGGGUAAUGUUUACAAUUUCAAGGAUUAGAACUUUUCGUUUAUGUUGUUUAUCAGACCUUCUAUACAUCUCUACAGUUAUAUGAUCUUUAUGGUGAAUACAUUGUGCAAGGCCGUAUAUUAUAAGAUCAAUACUGUUUUUUAAAGGAAAGAAAAAUAUAUAAUGUGCUACACACCAAAUUUUCUUCAAAGAAAAAAAAAUAAAUUAAAUAUGUUCCAUACUUUCUUUUUGUAGUUUGUGAUCCUAGCUAAACUCAGGUUAAAGAGUUAUGUUUAUAUUUGUAUAUUUGAAUGGAGUUAAUUGCAAAUACAACGAUUAGAUACAAAAUAUUUGCAUAUGUAACACAUAUUGUAUUGCUAAUAUAAAUAUAUCACUCAUAGAUUUUGCUAUAAUUAUACUUGUUUAAACAUACUAAUACACACUUAAUCUUCUUAGUUCAAUAAUGGUAUGGAGUGGAACAAACUUCCUACGUUAGGAUAAAAGGGUCACACAAAUUACCUUCGUAGUAAACUUACUUUUGACAUUAUUCAUUUAACUUAGGGUAAGUAUAAUGGAUUAGCAAUUUUAUGAAUAAUAAUUAAGUAUAUAACAAUAUCUUUUAAAAAUUGUAAAUGUAGCAAAAUAUAUUUGUGAUAGAUUUAUAUCGUUAAUAGACUCUUAUGGCUUAUAAGCGAAUGACAUAUGUGAUUUAAAAUAACUGCAGCAAUUAGUUUAAAAUGUUGUUAUAUAUCUACGAAUUUCUUAAUUGUUAUAUUCAUUUGUCAUUAGUUGUAUUUAAAAGGGAUGACCAGAAAAACAUUAAAACAAGAGGUUUACUUUUGAUAAAAGAAAAUUUUAAAUUUAAAUUGCUAAAAUAGCAAAAUGUGCAUGUCUAAGUGAAAAUUAUUCAACAAUAAUCACGGUCGAACUCAAACUCCCAAAAACAAUGAUUACAUUUAUUCCCUAAUUUGCUAAUUCAUUUUGGAUUAGGUUUAUUUUUGACAACAAUAAAAAAAUUGAGGUGUGGAACAAUGAUAUUAUAAAUGCCAAAGAGUAGUUAAGAUGCAAAAUAUAAAUUUAUAUUUGCAAUAUUAGGUCAAAAUGAAUGAUAAUUUAGUUAGAUUUUUGUCAAAUAAAUAAAAAUGUGAACCAUACCAAAAGCAAAUAUAGAUGCUUUUUUAUUAUUGAAUUUUCAUAGAAUAAAUAAUAAAAAAAAGUAAAAAAUAUUUGCCUUUUAACUUUUUCUUUUUUAAUUUUCAUAGAAAAUAUUUAAUCCAAAAAUUAAAUAACUCUCCUCCACGGUCAAUUUUCUUUUCCCUCUUCUUCAACCUCAACGGUCUCUUUUAUUUCAAAUUUCUUUCCCCUUUUUCUUCUCCAUCGGUUUACUCUGCCUCUCAUCUCCCCUUCUCUUCUUCGUCUUCCUCAAACCCUGCGAUUUCCUAUCUCUCAAAUUCCGUUUCGCUCUUCCUAUACCUCCAAAAUUUCGCUCUUCCUCUCUAACGUGAAGCAGCCAAGAAACUCUAUCUUGCGACAUACCCAUCUCGUCGAUCCACCACUUUCUUCUUCUUCUAGCCUUAACGGUGCCGAAAUCAAGGGCCGCAGACCCCCUCGGAAACCCAAGUCUUCCAAAGAAAAUUCUCCACCCUCAGAUCGGUUUUCGAUUCCAAAUCCUGAAGAGCCCGCUUCCACCUAGGCCUCCCUCUUCUAACCCGACCGUUCCUGAGAGUUCGCUAUCACAUACUGCUUUUUUUACCUGUGUUGUUGAAUCCCGAUCCAAGGUAAUGCUAAAAUAAUGUUGCUAAUAUCUGGAAUAUGGUAUUACUGAAUUUAGUAAAAAUAAAUAAAUAAAUAAAUAAAAGAAGUAUACCUGUAACAACUAACAGUUGUGAGCACUGUCGGAAAAAGGCAAUGAAUUUGUAAAUCGAAGUGCAGAUAGUUCUGUUGUUUAGGAUGGAAAAGCAUGAGUAUCACGUUUCUAUUCAACGGACUGGUACUUGUAAAAUUUAGGCUCAUAAUCAUUUUAUUAUGCAGAGACUGGCAGAUGGUUUAAGUAGCUGGUUCCGGAGGCAGAAGCUAACAGGUGCAGCUGGGGAGCGCUUGAAGGAAGCACGCAAUAUCAACCGACCACUCUCACAACUCGGGUAACCGAUCAAAACUAUUGGGAGAUAUUUCAAAUUUCAUUUAAGCAGUGAUCUUUCCAAUGAUUUUUUUCUUUAUUUAUUUUGUAAUGUCAAUUAGUUGGCUAAUUAUUUAUCAGAAUGCUUGUUGAUAUCGCUGCAUGUUUUAUUUUGUAAUGUUUGUACUUUUUAGUUGUGAUUUGUGAAUAUGCUAGGAUUGAUUUGAUUUGCUCUUCUGACUGUUAAGAUCGGAAUGAUGUUUUGCGAACUCCCAAUACUUCUACCGGAGACACUUGCAUAGACAAAUCAGCAGCCAAAUCUUUUGAAAUUGGGAAUAAUGGCCUGUUUGAACCCACGACCUUGCAAAGAACAGAAACAUGAAAGACCGGGUGUAUAAGCGAUUCCUUGGGAAGGGCCAAACGGUAUGCAACGAAACGAAUUCGUGCCACGAUCAUAAAUGAACCAAUGAAUCUUGGGGCCAAUUUGGAGUGCUUAAAACGGCUGAGAGAGGACUUUCGGUAAGGGCGUAACUUCACAUAAACCCAAUCAUGAACCUCAAACUGCACCUCCCGUCUUUUAGCAUUAGCAUAUUUAACCAUUCGCUGCUGUGCUUUCAGUAAAUUGGCCUUCAAAACGCCCAAAAUUUAAUCUCUUUCUUUCAUCAAAUGGUCUACUUCAUCAUUCACCCGGCUCGAGCCCUUCACAUAUGGUAAUAUAGAGGGGGGUGGUCGCCCAUAGAGGGCCUCGAAGGGGGUCAUCAAUGUGGCUGUACGGACUGUUGUAUUAUAGCUCAAUUCAGCCCAAGCUAGCCAUUUAACCCAUUGUUUAGGUGUGUUCAUAGAAAAAUACCCUAGAUACGUCUCCACCCCUCGAUUGACAACUUCCGUUUGACCAUCUGUUUGGGGGUGGUAAGUGGUGCUUCGUCUCAACUGAGUUUCCAACAACCUCCACAACUCUUCCCAUAAUAGACUUGUGAAAAUACGAUCACGAUCCUACACUAUACUUCAGGGGCAUCCAUGCAAACGAAUAAUCUCUCGCAUAAAAACAGCAGCAACCACUUUUGCACCAAAUGGAUGUUUCAAGGGGAUGAAAUGUGCAUACUUGGAAAGAAGAUCCGCAACUACCAAUAUAACAUCAUAACCCUCGGAUUUGGGGAGGCCCUCAAUAAAAUCCAUACUAAUAUCUUCCCACACACGAUCCGGAAUGGGUAAUGCUUGAAGGAAACCAGCCGGAGUUAAAGACAAGUAUUUGGCUUGUUGACACACGGAACAUUCAGCAACAUAGGUGCGGAUAUGGGCUGUCAUACCUCGCCAAUAUACCUCCCUUGCUAGCCUUUGAUAUGUUUUCAAUGCACCAUGAUGUCCCCCUAUCUGGCUGUUAUGGAAUUCAGCUAAUAAUAAAGUAAUAUCAGGUGAAUCCUCCUCCUUGUAGCGAAUAUCCCUCUGGAGCUUGUUGUCCAUUUAUCAAGGAUAGUCGAAUAUUGUUAAGAGAUUCAUUUCCAGCCACUUGAUCGAUGAAAACUGAAGGGUUUAGCCCGCCCACAAUACUUACGAGGCCCAAUUCAAAUACCGGUGGUAAUCUCUAUAAGGCAUCGGCCGCUUUGUUUUCCAAUCCUUUCUUGUACUCAAUCACAAAAUCAUACCCCAAUAGUUUAGCGAUCCAUCUCUGAUAUUCUCCCCCGAUAGCCCGUUGUUCAAGAAGAAACUUCAAACUUUUCUGAUCUGUACGCACCACAAAAGGCUUACCCAAUAGAUAUGGUCGCCAUUUUUGAACAGCCAGCACUAUUGCCAUAAGCUCCCGUUCAUAAACAGCCUUAAAACUAUGGGUAAUAGGUAAAGCUUGACUGAAAAAGGCCACUGGUCGUUGAUUUUGCAUUAGGACAGCCCCAAUACCCACACCCGAAGCAUCAGUUUCCAGCACAAAACUUUGUGAAAAAUCAGGAAUACCUAGCAUCGGGACAGACAUCAUUGCUGACUUUUAACUGCUGAAAUGUGUUCUCGGUCGUCUCAUUCCACUUAAAGUUACCUUUUUUUAACAGUUGUGUCAAGGGGGCAGCACAAUAGAACCGUAGUUUGCAACGAAUUUCCGAUAAUACCCCGUUAGCCCCAAAAAACCCACCUAGCUCCUUCACGUUCUUGGGUGCUGGCCAUUUAACCAUCGCUUCUAUUUUUGUUGGAUCCGCUGCCACCCCCUAUGAAGAAAUAACAUGGCCCAAGUAUUCAAUUUUGUCAACCGCAAAUUGGCAUUUUUUAAAGUUGGCUACCAGUUGAUGAGCUACUAGAGUUUCCAAAACUAUUGCCAAUUGGUGCAAAUGCUCGUCCAAGGACUUGCUGUAAAUUAAGAUGUCAUCAAAGAAAACCAAAACAAACUUGCGUAAAUAUGGGCGAAGAACAUCACUCAUGAUUGAUUGGAAUGUUGCCGGAGCGUUUCAACCCAAACAGCAUCACAAGGAAUUCAUAGGGCCCCUCGUGGGUUCGAAAUGCUGUUUUGUGAACAUCGGCUGCCCGCACAAAUAGAAAAAUAUCAGAAUGCUUGUUUUUCUUUAUUUAUUUUGUAAUGUCAAUUAAUUGGCUAAUUAUUUAUCAGAAUGCUUGUUGAUAUCGCUGCAUGUUUUAUUUUGUAAUGUUUGUACUUUUUAGUUGUGAUUUGUGAAUAUGCUAGGAUUGAUUUGAUUUGCUCUUCUGACUGUUAAGAUCGGAAUGAUGUCAAUUAAUUGGCUAAUUAUUUAUCAGAAUGCUUGUUGAUAUCGCUGCAUGUUUGUACUUUUUAGUUGUGAUUUGUGAAUAUGCUAGGAUUGAUUUGAUUUGCUCUUCUGACUGUUAAGAUCGGAAUGAUGUUGCUCAUCUGAAAGUAGGCAGCAUCAUGUGGUUGAAGACUUGUAGAGUAUGGAGAGUGAAUGGUCAAAUUUGAGGAAUCAUAUCUGCUGGCUUUGUAGUCCAAAUAGGUUGUCUGGCUAACUUUCUUUUUCUCAUUUUCAACCAAUUAGGAUAGCUGUCAUGUUUUUUGAAUUCCUUGCCAUUCUUGAGUAGUAACUUGGCAUUUAUUUAUUAAAAGGUUUUAAUUAAGAUUGUGGUGUUCAUAACUUUGUAGUCACACUAAAUAACUUAAAAGAGUUAGUUUGACAGUUGACAAACAUGAUAGUAAUGUGAUAGUGAGUGCAAGGGUAAAAAGAGUUGCUUCUGUUGGGUUAAAGUGAUGUUUGUGUUUUUUAGUGUGAUGUGUUUUGUUUUCAAGUUCGUUAGUAGACGUAUUACUUAAUUGAAAAUUUUGAUACCAUAGCCAGUGUAGGGGAAGAUGAAUGGAGGGUGCUAUUAGACUAGUUAAGACUUAUAUGUAUCCUAAUUUUAGUAAUAUAUAAAAUUGAGAGAAUUUCCUUUGAUUUUCAGGAACAAGGAUGAAUAAUCAAUGAAAAAGGAAUGAAAAGGUUUAUCCAUGCAAGCUUCAAACAAAAGUCAAGGAUGUCGAUCCUUCCAGGGAGUCCAAAGUUCCCCCCUUAUUUUUCUCCAUUUACUUUGAUUUUCAAAAGCUUUUAGGACAGAAAAAGCAAUUUUUUGAGUGGGUGUGGGUAAUAGCUUGCUUAGCUUGCAUGUUUAGUGUAAACUUGGGGGUUCAAAUUUUGCCCAAAUUUCAAAAUUUUUCAGAAUUCUUUCCAUACAAUAAUGAGCAUUAUACCUUCUUAGCUUAAUUAAAUCUUGCAUAAAAAGCAUGAUUGGCAACCCUUGAGCACUGAGCUCGGGUUUAUGAUGUGAAAUUCUGAAUUUUGAUGAGUAUAUGUGCUGAAAUUUGAGCAUAAGCUGCUGUCUUUUUUGUUUUAAGCUCCUUUUAGCUAUUUCUUAUUGAGAUGUGAAUGCAUGAUUGAGAAAAUGGUGUGUGUGUUGUGAAUGCUUGAUUGCAUGUAUAAUAAAUAAGUGCAUGGAUACUUUUCUAGCUUUGUCUUCCUUUGUUGCUUUGUCGUGACUUACCUAUGACGCACUUAGUCCAAACCUAGCCUAGAUAGAGUAACAAAGGAUAGGAGGCACCCUUUAGAAACUGGGAUGGUUUUAACAAGUUUGUCUUGUCAAACAUGAGUUAGAAGCCUCUUCUCUAGCCACAGUGAACUAAAUCCCUUUAGAAAAGGGUCGACAUUAACAAAACUUAUUGUCACUUCGAAGGGAGCAAUCAAACUUAAUUAGUAACUAAAUGUAGAACCAUAGAAAGGUUAGCCCACCGGUUCUAGCAAGGCCUAGUUACCACAUUGCAUACCAAAGAAAGAAAAGAGAGACUUGACAAUGCAAAACAUAAAAACAGUAAGACAAUCAAGAGCUAUAAAAAAAAUCAAACAACAUAUCAAUUAUACAUUAGAAAAAGCCCAUAAAAAAUGGGGAAAACUUCACUUUUGGCCUAACCAAAACCAGACUACCUACUCUUAGCGUUCUAAACAUAGCAUCGAGUUUGAUGAGGGCUUUGAAAAGAGGAGGAAUCCUCCCCGAUCCACAUUAGGGGGAAAACGAGGCUUGUUGUCACUCCGAAGGGAGCAGUCAAACUUAGAAACUAAGUUUAGAACCAUAGAAAGGUUAGCCCACCGGUUCUAGCAAGACCUUGUUACCACAUUGCAUACCAAAGAAACAAAAGAGAGACUUGCAAAUGCAAACCGUAAAAAGGUUAGACAAUCAAGAGCUAUAAAAAAACAAACAACACAUGCAAUAUACAUUAGAAAAAUCCCAUAAAAAAACAAAGAGCCAACUUGGUUCGGUCAGGUAGAAUGUGUUGAGUUCCCUAACUAUCAGAGCUUUUAGCAGAAAACUUUACUUUUGGCCUAACCAAAACCAAACCACCUACUCUUAGCGUUCUAAACUUAGCAUCGAGUUUGAUGAGGGCUUUGAAAAGAGGAGGAAUCCUCCCCGAUCCACAUUAGGGGGAAAACAAGGCUUGUUGUCACUCCGAAGCGAGCAGUCAAACCUAGCAUUGAGUUUGACGAGGGCUUUGAAAAGAGGAGGAAUCCUCCCCGUUCCAUAGUAGGGGGAAAACGAGGCUUGUUGUCACUCCGAAGAGAGCAGUCAAACUUAGAAACUAAGUUUAGAACCAUAGAAAGGUUAGCCCACCGGUUCUAGCAAGACCUUGUUACCACAUUGCAUACCAAAGAAACAAAAGAGAGACUUGCAAAUGCAAAACGUAAAAAGGUGAGACAAUCAAGAGCUAUAAAAAAACAAACAACACAUGCAAUAUACAUUAGAAAAAUCCCUUAAAAAAACAAAGAGCCAACUUGGUUCGGUCAGGUAGAAUGUGUUGAGUUCCCUAACUAUCAGAGCUUUUAGAAAAAUUCCAGGUAUCACUAUACCGUUUGAAGAAAUUCUACUAGAGCUAAAUAGCGAUCAAAUCGGUUACGGUAUUCUUCUACAUUCGUUUUCUGUUUGAUUGAGAAAAAUCUUCCAACCAAAGUUCCUUCUCGAAUUGAUCGAAACUGUACAAGCAUUCGUUCUUUCAGGGCAGCCCAAUUCUUAAAAACUUCCUCCAAUUCCAUCACCUGUGCACGUGCAAUUCCACUUGUCUUUCUUCUGCUAUAUUGUAUUGCAAUUGGUGGUCUAUCAUUACUCUCCCUCUCCAAAGACACCUUGUUCUCAAGGUGGGAAAUGAGGAAGCUUUUGUGUAAAAUCAUCACAAUUCUCCCAUGUAGCCUCAUGAGGUGGUAUUCCUUUCCAACUAACAAGCACUUCCCACUUCUUUGUUGCUGGAUUUUUAGGAUAGCCAAAAUUGUCUGCUGGUAGUAACUCUUGAAAUGUAGGAACAUCAUCAAUUCCAUAUAGUUCGGUAAAUGUCAUUCCUCCCUCCAUAGCUCGACAUUUUGUCAAGAAACCGUAAUCAGAUGGUGUCCAUGUCUCCAUCAUGUGUUACAGACUCACUCUAGUCUUUGUCAAACUCGGGUCACCCCUUAUAACAACAUUCUUUUCAUUUUGUAUGAAAGUUAAAGUGAGUUUCCGCCAAUCCACUUCAGUUACCCCAACGUGUGCAGCCAUUGCAUUCCAAGGAUGACAUCACGAUAGAACACUGAUGUAGUGUUUCUAUUAUAUUGACAAUUCAAACACAACUUACAACAUAAGCAAACCGUGAACCUCAGAAAAUGAGUCACGUUACAUAUAAUUCACAAACAUCAAACAAAGAAAACCUCCUAAUCCAAAAUUCCGAACAACAAAAUACUAAUAAGCAAACCAGAAUAUAGAACACCAAUCUUCUGCUUCCCCUGUCUUUCAAGGAGUAUUGCAGACCUUUUCCUUCACUCCGAAAACUCACUUUAACAAAGAGGCAGCCACAUUUUCAGGUACAGAAAAUAAAGUAGGUAGUAUGUAGGAAGGCUAACCAGAACUGAGUUGCAUAAGGUUUGUCUUCCGCCUCUAGAGAUGUUAUAUCUUUUCCACCUUUCAAGUUUCUUGUGAAUUCGAUCAAUGACUGGUUGCCAAAAAGACUUUUGUCGAGGGUAGCCUCCCAAAGGGAGACCUAAAUAUAUAAUCGGAAGCUGGAAUAAAAAGAGAAGAGUAUCAUCGACAAAUUGAAGCAAAGGGAGGUGGAUCAAGUCUUUGCCAACAAGGAAACCUUCAAACUGGCUGUUAAUAUGAAGCUUGUUUAUGAUUUCUCCUAAAACCUCACUUAUUAGGAGGAAUAAAAAGGGGGAGAGGGGGUCCCCUUGGCGGAUACCUCUAGAUGCUAUUAUCCGGCCUCUAGGCUUACCAUUGAUGAAGACUGAAUACUUUGGAUUUUUUAGGCAGCCCAUUAUCAAUGAUAUCCAUUUUGAACUAAACUUUUUCAAAGAUAAAUUUUUGUCUAAAAAGUUCCAAUUCACCCUAUCGAAGGCUUUUUCCAAGUCAAGUUUUAAAAUUAAUCCUUUUUUCCGUUUUUCCCUAUAAUCUUCCACGGCCUCGUUAGCAAUUAAUAUUGGGUCAAGAAUUUGCCUACCUUCAAUAAAGGCGCUUUGAGUGGAGCUUAUAAUUGCAUCCAUAACUUGUUUUAGACGUUCAGAUAAAACCUUUGCAACAACCUUGUAUGCUAACGUAGUAAGGCUGAUUGGACGGAAAUCCUUGACUAGAGUCACAUUCUCUUUUUUCUGCACUAAACAAAUGAAGUUUUCUUGGAUGCAAGCAUUUAAUCUUCCAUUUCUGUGGAAAUCAGACAUUAGUGAUUUGAAGAUAUCCUUGAAAAUAGACCAUUGGGUGAUUAGGAACUUCACUGUGAAGCCAUCCGGGCUCGGAGCUUUAUUGUUGCCAAGUGCCUUUAAUGCCUUAAAGAUCUCCUCCACUGAAAAUUGGGUAACAAGAGCCUCAUUCUGAAUUGAGGAAACACAAGACCAAUUACUGUUAAUAGGGAUGAAUCUGUCCCCCGGAAUUCUGGUAUAAAGUGACUCAAAAAAUUCCAGCAUAAGCCUUUCAAUGUCGCGGAAUGAAGUCGAGACAACCCCAUCAUCAUUUUUUAAUUCAGUUAUGAGGUUCCUUCUUUUUUUCGCAUUUAGAAACCGGUGGAAGAAGCCCGUAUUCUCAUCACCCGAAGAAAGCCAAUUGAGUUUACUCUUCUGAAUAAAAUUACGCUCUUCGUUUUGAUAAAUACUAAGUAAUUCCGCUUGCAAAGCAGCUCUAGAAUUCAACUCUUCUUGAUUUAAUCCAAUCAACUCAGCCACAGAAUCAUAUUUUUCUAAUUUUGACAUCAAGGAUUUCUCUGUUUUUUUUUUACCUUAGCUUGCGCAGCAAUAUUCCAAGCUUUUACUGCCAAUUUAACUGAUCUCAACUGCUCAUGAAGAAUGAAACCAGCCCAUCCCUGGAAGUUAGAGUUGCUCACUGUUUCAACAAUAAUCUGAUUAGAAUCACUAGACACCAACCAGCUGUUACAAAACCGAAAAGGAGAGGGACCCCAAAGAAAAGAACCAGCCUCCAAGAAUCUGUUUUGGAGUUUGUUCGAUCUGUUCGUGAUGAUACCAAUCUGUUAUGAUCCUAUUGCACUUGCAACUUUUAGGGUAUUUUUCUUCCAUUUCUUUUCUACUUCCAAUUUCAUUUUCAAUUUCUGCAAAUUUUUUAGUUUUUCAUAUGUAUAUUGUUUUCCAAUGGUCAUUUGUUGUGUGGUGUCUUUCUUGUAAGUCAUUGGUUACUUUGUAAAGAGAAACACAUUAUGCACUAUGUCAUCGUUCUACUCUUUCUGCAACAUUUCCAUAAAGAAGCAAGAAAACAGCUAGCAGGCAGAUCAAACUUUCUUAAAUAUUCAAUUGGCCAUUUCGCCUUUCUGGAUUUAACAUUCUGCAUUUGUGUCGUUACCCUUAAAUCUCCUCACAUCUCUUUGUUCUUCCAACAAUCGUUAAGAAAAAUCCCUGUAAACCGAACCCCAUGUAUUCCCUUUUCUCCUCACUCGCCAGAAUUUUGCCCACUCUCCAAACAAAAUCAUUUCAGCCUUACUUUUGUUCACUACCCAUUUCCAAAAAUUUCAUUUCCCUCUGAAAAUCUUUGUUGAUGGCCAAACUUGUGGCUGGGAACCGUUCUCGAUCAUGUCCAGUGCUGAACCUCCCGAUGGACUGCAAGGAUCAAGGGUUAAGGUUGGUUUUUCUAUUUUUGUUGGUUAGAGUUCGUGUUCUGUUUCUUUUUUACUUUGAGUUAAAUCCUUUGUAUUUGAAGAAAUUAAAGUUAUGGGAUGUGAUGCAUGUUGGCAGGGAGCUGAUUCCUUAAAAGUUGGUUAGUGUUCUUGUUCUGUUUUUUUUUUUACCUUGAGUUAGUUACAUUGUUUUUUGUAGGGAGCUGAAUCCUUUCUUGGGAACGUUUUGGGGAGCAUGGAGGCUGUUUAUUUGAGUCGGAAGCCCGCUGCAAAAUCUGUUUUGGAGUUUGUUCGAUCUGUCCAUGAUGAUACAAAUUUGUUAUGAUCAUACUGCAUUUUGAAGUUUUGGGGUAUUUUUCUUCCAUUUCUUUUCUUCUUCCAAUUUCCGCUUAUCUUUUUAUUCUUUCUUCUGUUUAUUAUUUUCUAAUGGUCACUUGUUGUGCAAUAUCUUUCUUUUAAGUCAUUGGCUACUUGUUGUGAAAUGGUGUCACUUCUUAGGAACGUUUUGGCGAGCAUGGAUGCUGUUUAUUUUAGUUGGACGCCUACUGCAAAAUCUGUUUUGGAGUUUGUUCGAUCUGUUCGUGAUGAUACCAAUCUGUUAUGAUCAUAUUGCAUUUUGAAGUUUUGGGUAUUUUUCUUUGGUUCUUUUCUACUUCCAAUUUCAUUUUCAAUUUCUGCAAAUUUUUUAGUUUUUCAUAUGUAUAUUGUUUUCCAAUGGUCAUUUGUUGUGUGGUGUCUUUCUUGUAAGUCAUUGGUUACUUUGUAAAGAGAAACACAUUAUGCACUAUGUCAUCGUUCUACUCUUUCUGCAACAUUUCCAUAAAGAAGCAAGAAAACAGCUAGCAGGCAGAUCAAACUUCCUUAAAUAUUCAAUUGGCCAUUUCGCCUUUUUGGAUUUAACAUUCUGCAUUUGUGUCGUUACCCUUAAAUCUCCUCACAUCUCUUUGUUCUUCCAACAAUCGUUAAGAAAAAUCCCUGUAAACCGAACCCCAUGUAUUACCUUUUCUCCUCACUCGCCAGAAUCUUGCCCACUCUCCAAACAAAAUCAUUUCAGCCUUACUUUUGUUCACUACCCAUUUCCAAAAAUUUCAUUUCCCUCUGAAAAUCUUUGUCGAUGGCCAAACCUGUGGCUGGGAACCGAAUGUUCUCGAUCAUGUCCAGUGCUGAACCUCCCGAUGGACUGCAAGGAUCAAGGGUUAAGGUUGGUUUUUCUAUUUUUGUUGGUUAGAGUUCGUGUUCUGUUUUUUUUUUAGUUUGAGUUAAAUCCUUUGUAUUUGAAGAAAUUAAAGUUAUGGGAUGUGAUGCAUGUUGGCAGGGAACUGAUUCCUUAAAAGUUGGUUAGUGUUCUUGUUCUGUUUUUUUUUUUUUUACCUUGAGUUAGUUACAUUGUUUUUUGUAGGGAGCUGAAUCCUUUCUUGGGAACGUUUUGGCGAGCAUGGAUGCUGUUUAUUUUAGUUGGACGCCCACUGCAAAAUCUGUUUUGGAGUUUGUCCGAUCUGUUCGUGAUGAUACCAAUCUGUUAUGAUCAUAUUGCAUUUUGAAGUUUUGGGUAUUUUUCUUUGGUUCUUUUCUACUUCCAAUUUCUGCUUAUUUUUUAUUCUUUCGUAUGUAUAUUAUUUUUUAAUGGUCACACGUUGAGCAAUGUCUUUCUUUUAAGUCAUUGGCUACUUUGUACAGAGAAGAACAAAGUGAACUAUGUUAUCGUUCUACUCUUUCUACCCCAUUUCUAUAAAGAAGCAAGAAAACACCUAACAGGCAUAUCAAUCUGCUUAAACAUUCAAUUGGCCAUUUAGUCUUUUGGGAUUUAACAUUGUGCCAUUCUUGUCGUUGCCCUUAAAUCUCCUCACAAACUCUUUGUUCUUCCAACAAUCAUUGAGAAAGAUCCCUAGAAUCGGAGCCCCAUGACUUUCCUUUUCUCCACGCCGGCCAGAAUUUUGCCCACUCUCGAAACAAAAUCUUUCCAACCCUAUUUUUCUUUACAACCUAUUUCCAAAAAAUUCAUUUCGCUUUUUGGAAAAUCAUCGUCUAUGUCGAAACCUGCAUCUUGGAACUGAUUGUUCUCGAUCAAGUCCAGUGCUGAACCCCCGAAUGGACUGCAAGGAUCACGGGUGAAGGUUUAUUUCUUUCUUAUCGUUGGUUAGAGUUUUUGUUUUGUAUUGUACUGCCUUGACUUAAUUCCAUUAUUUUUGAAGAAUUUAAAGUUAUGGGUUUUGAUGAUCCUUUCUUAGGAACGUUUUGGCAAGACUGUACACUGCCUAUCUGAGUCGGAAUCCCACUGCAAUAUCCAUUUUGGAGCUUAUUCGAUCAAUUCAUGUUGAUACAAAUUUUUUAUAAUCAUAAUGCAUUUGGAAAUUUUGGGGUAUUGUUCUUCGUUCCAUUUUUUUUUCUACUUCCAAUUUCGUUUUCAAUUUCUGCAUAUUUUUUAUUCUUUCUUAUGUAUAUUGUUUUCUAAUGCUCAUAUGUGGUGCAAUGUCUUUCUUUUAAGUCAUUGGUUUUUUGGUGAAUAGAAAAACAAAGGGAACUAUGUCAUCGUUCUACUGUUUCUACGACAUUUCCAUAAAGAAGCAAGCCAGAUCAAACAUUCUGCCAUUCUUUUGGUUCCCUUAAAUAUCCUCACAACCUCUUUGUUCUUCCAACAAUCAUUAAGAAAAAUCCCUGUAAACCGAACCCCAUGUCUUCCCUUUUCUCCCCACUAGCCGGAGUUUUUCCCACUCUCCACACAAAAUCCUCUCAACCUUAUUUUUCUUGACUACCCAUUUCCAAAAUUUUCAUUUCCUUGGAAAUUCUUUGUCGAUACCGAAACCUGCAGCUGGGAAUCGAUUGUUGUCGAUCAUGUCCCCGGUGCUGAACCUCCCAAUGGACUGCAAGGAUCAACGGUUAAGGUUUAUUCUUUUGUUAUCGUUGGUUUGAGUUCUUGUUCUGUUUUUUUCUGCUUUGAUUUAAUUGCAUUGGUUUUGAAGAAUUUAACGUUAUGGGUUGUGAUGCAUGUUGAUAGCAAGCUGAAUCCUUUAUUAGGAAUGUUUUGGUGAGCAUGGAGUCAGUUUAUCCGAGUCGGAAUCCCACUGCAAAAUCUGUUUUGGGGCUUGUUCGAUCUGUUCAUCAUGAUACAAUUUGUUGAGAUCAUAUCGCUUUUAGAACUUUUGGGGUAUUUUUCUUCCUCCCAUUUCUUCUACUUCCAACUUCAUUUUUAUUUUAUGGAUUGAUCAUUCAAUUUCAGCAAACCCACUGGUUAUGGUCAAAAGCAUAUUUAAGUUGAAGAUAUAGUAUUACAUUUACCUCGUAAGUUUUUGGAUGAAUUGGUGAUUUAACAUGGUCUAGAGUGGAUAGUUUAGGAGGCUGUUAGGCCACCAUUGUUGUUUACCUAUAAUAGAAGAAAGAAAAAUAAGGCACGUUAGGAACCAACAACAGUUACUUAAAAAAGAUGACAGUUAUCUAAAACUGGAAGUUAAAUGGAUGAGAGGGAGGUGGGAAAGGGCAGGCAGUUUUUAGUAAAAGGAAGGGCCUGCAAUACUCCAUGAGAGAUAGGGGAAGCAGAGGGCUCACGAUCUUGUUCUGGUUUUAAUUGUAGUAUUUUGAAUUGUGUUUAUUUGUGUUUUGGAUUAGGAGGGUUUCUUUGCUUGUUGUUUGUAAUUUCUCUGUAAUUUUCUUUUUAUUGUAACUUUGAGUUUCAAAUGUCAAUAUAAUAGGGAACAGUACAUCAGUGUUCUAUCAAGGUUGUAUGUUCAAAAGUGAGUAGAUAGUUGAGGAGGUCCAAUGUUCAAAAGUGAGUAGAUGGUUUAGGAGGGUCCUAUGUUCAAAAGUUUGCUGGUGUGUAUCUUUGUUGGCUCGACAUGUUUUUAAUUUAUGAUUGUUGUUGGUGGAGAGAGCGGAAGAUGCCGGGGACAGCUUGGAGAAGAUCAAGCGGCAGCUGGCCUCUGGGUCUGGUCGGAAUUUGUUGCAGGGUCCCCUUCUAAAGCGAUCUGAAACAGUAAACUAACGCAUUGCAACUCUUUCUGUCUUUCCUUUUGUUUUGAAUUGAUGGUUACUGCUUAAUUGCGCUGCCUUUAGGUCUUCCAUUUAAAUCGUUCUGACUGUUUUAGUGAUAUUUGAAGACUUAAUUAAAUCACCUAGAAGUACUUAUUAAGAUUAGGACGUCGGGAUUUGUGAUUUCAAGGAGAUUAGAAAUGUGAGAAAUGCCCAUGUUCGUGAUCUAACUGUCGGCAUAUUUGUGUUUAUGAAUAUGGCCGUCGAUGUGAUAGUAUUCUCAGACUGUUUUGUAGUGCGCAUAUGCAGAAUUGUGGUCACAUUUGAUCAGCCUUCUAUUUUCUGCGUUUCUGUUCUUAGACAGCAUUUUUUUAUGGCAAUGAGCCUUCAUUGUAGCAAAUCUGAUUUUCUCUAUUACAAUGUUUGCAGUUGAGGAAAUGGAAUGAGCGAUGGGUAGUUUUGGACCCAACAACAGGGAAAAUGGAGUAACCAUACGUCCCAUUUACACUGUUUUUGGUCCUUCCUUGCUUGGUUCAAUGUAGUAAUAUGUUGGUGGAAACAGCUCAUUUCUAAUGCUGCUGCCGAUGGUGAUGGGGUCAAUGGACCUCUGCCAAGAGUGUUCAUAUCACAAAUUGUUGUGGAUUAGUUGAGUAAAUAAACUCAGGUGCGUUUCACCGAAUUCUCGAUAUGAAGAAAUCUGAAUAUAUUUUUUCCUUCUGAAAUUUGGCUACAAGCUGUAUCUUGGUGCUGCAGUAAGUGUAUUGUUAGCGAUGUAGUAGGCAUAAGGUGGGAAUAGGAUGCAUUUUGUGUUUUAUCCAUUUAAGUUUUUGGUUUAUGCAACAAAACCUUAGCUUGAAUUACAACUUCAUAUCAUUUUUCCUACUGCAUUCAGUACAUAAUCAGAAGAUACACUGAAUGUUCUUGCAUUGGGAAGAAGCAUGCUGCUUUGGCUGGUUCUCUGGGUUCCUUCACAUGGGAAAAGCCUUUGCAUUCAGAGUUUGAGCAAUUAGCAAGGCUUUUAAUCUCCCAUGACUCUGAAACUUAUGUUAUUUAGGUCACCAUAUUAUCGUGGAGAAUGAACCAAAUUUCAUUUCUGAAUUGUGAUUUCACCAAGAAUUUGAAAACAAAAAUGCAUAUUGUUUUCUUUCUGAUUCUCUUUUAUUGCGUAUUAUUUUUUAUUGGUCAUUUACCUCCCACAGAUGACAUGAAUAGCGCCAAACAACUACAAAGAGAACUGCCACACUCCUAUAAUUGCUGCUAACCUACCUAACUAAGAAUAUACGACAAUCUCGAAAAUGUGCCAAUGAGAGACAUCAUCAGAUCCAGAGAUCAAGUUUGCCAAGAACUACUCAUAGUAGAAUUUGCAAAUAUGUGGUGCAAACUGAGCCAAGAAUAGACAACUCCAACCUUUUUGGAAUAGACGUGGUUAUCAACCUUUUGACUCUCUUCUUCUUUUCUUUCCUGACUUGGAUUCACUGCCCUGAUCAUUGGAUGAAUUUAGUGACUUUCCCUUUGAGUUCUCCAUUGUUUUCCCAGAAGUUGAUGAAUGCUUCACAUCUCCACUUUCUUUUUCUUUUGCUUUUGAAGAUGUGAACUUAACCUUGGUGGAGAGAUUGGUAUUAUUAGACUUAUCGCCUGUUUUGGUAGACUUGCCUUUCCCCGUCUUCGAUACAUCUUGCUUGUUGGACUUUGCAACAGCGGCAGGUGUGGAUGUCUCAUCGUCCUUAGAUUUGCUAGUCUUGUUGGAUUCGGCAUCAUCAUUCUUCGACUUGCCAGCGAUUUUUGGACCUGUGCUACCAAGUUUACUUCCAAUUUCAAGAGUGCCUUGAUCCUUUGAUUUACUUCCAAUUUUUGGAGGCUGGUUUCAGCACAGGUGUGGUUUCCUUUUUAUCAUCAUCACCUGACAAUCUUUUCACGUUUUUUCCAGAAAUAGAUUUAGCUGAUCCCUUCUUUCUCUUGACCUCUGAUUGUUUUAAAGAACUCCCCCCACUCUUGCUGGUUCCAUCACCCUUCCUAACAGACUGCUUCAAUGUCUUAGUUUCAAAAUCACUUGUAGUCUCACUUUCCCUUUCUCCUGCAUCUUCAGCUGCAGCCUUAGCAUCAUCAGAAACUCCAGCAGGAACCUUCUCUUCAGCAUCUGAAUCGAGCUUUGCUCCUGAGUCAUCCAUUCCAUCCAAUGAUUUUUUUGAAACUUCUGCAGAUGAUGCCGCCCCCUCUUUAACUGUGUUGCCUUUCCUUUUUGCCUGUCCAAUCUUAUUUCCCUGUCCAGACUUAUUGUUACACCGAUCAGGAACACUUUCUCUAAGUGAAGGUGAAGCAACAUUUGCAGAUUCAAUCUCCAUAGCCUUGGCUGAGGAAGGCUUGGCAUCAGUCUCAUUUUCCAAGGGCAUGGAGGCUGUUUAUUUGAGUCGGAAGCCCACUGCAAAAUCUGUUUUGGAGUUUGUUCGAUCUGUUCAUGAUGAUACAAAUUUGUUAUGAUCAUAUUGCAUUUUGAAGUUUUGGGGUAUUUUUCUUCCAUUUCUUUUCUACUUCCAAUUUCUGCUUACGUUGUAUUCUUUCUUAUGUAUAUUAUUUUCUAAUGGUCUUGUUGUGCAAUGUCUUUCUUUUAAGUCAUUGGCUACUUUGUAAAGAGAAAAACAAAGUGAACUAUGUCAUCGUUCUACUCUUUCUACCCCAUUUCCGUAAAGAAGCAAGAAAACAGCUAUCAGGCAAAUCAAUCUACUUAAACAUUCAAUUGGCCAUUUAGUCUUUUGGGAUUUAACAUUCUGCCAUUCUUGUCGUUGCCCUUAAAUCUCCUCACAAUCUCUUUGUUAUUCCAACAAUCCUUAAGAAAAAUCCCUGUAAACCGAACCCCAUAUGUUCCCUUUUCUCCACAUCGGUCAUAAUUUUGUCCACUCUCCAAACAAUAUCCUUUCAACCUUAUUUUUCUUCACUACCCAUUUCCAAAAUUUUCAUUUCCCUUGGAAAAUCUUUGUCGAUGUCGAAACUUGCGGCUGGGAACCGAUAGUUCUCAAUCAUGUCCAGUGCUGUACCUCCCAAUGGACGGCAUGGAUCAAGGGUUAAGGUGGAUUUUUUUGUUAUCGUUGGUUAGAAUUCUUGUUCUGUUUUAGGACAUAAAUUCCAACACAAAGAAUGUUUAAGUGUUAGCUUUCUCUACUCAUAACCUACUCAAAUAUUAGAAAAAAGGACUUAACGACACAAAUUGCAUCCAAGUGUCCAGAUGCAACACUAUAGUGCCAAACAAACCUAACUAGUGUCCAAAAUGUGCCUAAGAUUUAAAGACAACCAAACGAUGCUUAACUGUGAGCUUUUCCAAUGCAUAAGCUACCAAAAAGUGAGAAAAAAAGGUCUGAACAACCUAAAAUCGCAACCAAGUGCCCAAAUGCAACUACUAUAGUGCCAAAUAAACCUAAGUAGUGUCCAAAAGGUGCCUAAGCUUUAAAGAAAACCAAAGAAUGCUUAAAUGUGAGCUUUCUAGACUCAUAACCAACUAAAAAGUUAGAAAAAAGAAUUUAACAACCCGGAAUGACAACCAAAUGCCAAGGUACAACAACUAUAGUGCCAAACCAAGGUGCGUAAGCUGUAAAGGAAACAAAAGAAUGCUUAAGUGUUAGCUUUCCCGACUCAUAACCUAACAAAAGUUAGAAAAAAGGACUUAACAACCCGAAAUUGCAACCAAGUGCCAAAGUGCAACAACUAUGGUGCCAAAGAAACCUUAUUAAUGUCCAAAAGGUUCCUAAGGUUUAAAGACAGCAAAAAAAAUGCUUAAGUGUGAGAUUUUCCAAAUCAUAACUUUAAAAAAUGUGAGAAAAAGGACUUAACGACCUGAAGUGGAAAUCAAGUGUCCAAGUGCAACAGCUAUAAUGCCAAACCAACCUAGGUAGUGUCCAAAAGGUGCCUACGUUGUAAAUGCAAUCAAAGAAUGCUUCAGUGUGAACUUUCUCUACUUAUAACCUACCAAAAUGUUAGAAAAAAGGACUUAACGACUCGAAUUGCAACCAAGUGCAACAAAUAUAGUGCCAAACUAACCUAACUAGUGUCCAAAAGGUGCAUAAGGCUUAAAAUCAACCACACAAUGCUUAACUGUGAGCUUUUCCAACUCAUAAGCUACGAAAAAAUGAGAAAAAAAUGACUUAACAACCCGAAAUGGCAACCAAGUGCCCAAAUUCAAUAACUAUAGUGUCAAACCAACCUAACUACUAUCCAAACGGUGUUAAGUUGUAAAGGCAACCAUUGAAUGCUUAAGUGUGAGCUUUCUUAACUCAUAAGCUACCAAAAAAUCACAAAAAAGGACUUGAUGAACAAAAAUUUCAACCAAGUGCGUAAGUUAAACAAAUAUGCUGUUAAAACAACCUAAUUAGUGUCUAAAAGGUGACUAAGGUUUAAAGACAACCAAAGAAUGCUUAAGUGUGAGCUUUCCCGACUCAUAACCUACCGAUAAGUCAGAAAAAAUGAUUGAACGACUCGAAAUGGCAAGCAUGUGCCCAAGAGCAACAAAUAAAAUGUCAAACGUACCUAAGUAGUAUCCAAAAGUUGCGUAAGCUAUAAACGCAACCAAAUAAUAUUUAAGUGUGAGCUUUCUCGACUCAUAACAAACAAAAAUGUAAAAAAAAAAGACUUAACGACCCCAAUUGGCAACCAAGUGCCUAAGUGAAACAACUAUAGUGCGAAACAUACCUAAGUAGUGUCCAAAAAGUGCCUAAGCUGUAAAUGCAACCCAAGAACUCGUAAGUGUGAGCUUUGUCGACUCAUAUCCUACCAAAAUAUCUGAAAAAAUAACUUAACGACCCGAAAUGGCAACCAAGUGCGCAUGUGCAAUAAUUAUAGUGCCAAACAAACCUAAGUAGUUUAAAAAACGUGCCUAUUAUAUAAACACAACCAAAGAAUGCUUAAGUGUGAGCUUUCUCAACUCAAAAUCUACCAAAAUGUCAGAAAAAAAGACUUAACGACCCAAAAUGAAAAUAAGUGCACAAAAGCAACAACUAUAGUGCCAGACCAACCCAAGUAGUGUCCAAAAGGUGCCUAAGGUUUAAAGACAAACCAAGAAUGUUUAACUGUGAGCAUUCCUGAUAUGGAUCAAGAAAUCAUGAUUGAAUCAAAUGAAGAAGUUGAGGAGAUGCAAUGCUUGGAAGUUGAAGAGUUAUUUUGGGCAACUCAAAAGUCAUAAAUUUAAAUGUUUAAGAAAUAAUGUUUAUGUGUUUUUAGUUAUUAUGUUAGUUGAAAGGUUAUCAAAUUAAAUGUUUUGACCUUUCAUUUCAUAUUUUAAUUAGUAUAAAUAGGGUUGUAAUUUUUCCACAUUUAAAAAGAAGAAUUUGGGAUGAAAGAAAUCUGAAAAUUCUAGAAUGUAGAAUUUUGUUCUUGUCUGUUGUGAUAGAAUGCACAAACAUUUGAAGCAUUCAAGUGAGAAUUGAUCUACCUUACUUGUGGAGUGUUUUGAAGAUUAAGGAUUGAUGGGAGUUUCUAAUUUUGUUCGAUCCUUGGUUUCUUAGAUCAUCUAAGCAAUUUGUAUGUAGCCUAUCUUAGGGGUUGAAAUCAAAUUGGUUUUGCGGCUAGUGGGGUUGUGUUCUUUGAGUCUUGUUGUUUAACAUGAUUCUUAGAUCCAAUGCCUAGGGGUUUCUUAUCAAUUUCCAACACAUAACCUACCAAAAAGUGACCAAAAAGGACUUAAGGACCUUAAAUGGAAACCAAGUGUGCAAGUGCAUCAACUAUAGUGCCAACCAACCUAUGUAGUGUCCAAGAGGUGCUUAGGCUGUAAAGACUAUCAAACAAUGCUUAAGUGUGAGCUUUCUUAACUCAUAAACUACCAAAAAUUGAAAAACAAAGAAGGAAUUAACGACCAAAAAUGGUAAAUAAGACAAGAACUAUAGUGCUAAACCAACCUAAGUGGUGUGCAAAAGGCGUCUAUAGUGCAAAUCAUGUCAUUUUAAUUGAUCAAUUCAUAAGUUAGUCCUAGAAGUUUUAUGGUAUAGUGCUUGAUUUGGCAAUGCAUAGGUAAAGAAACCAUAGUGACUAAAGUUCACAAAUCAAAUGUAUAGUAUUGUGUUUGAAAUGACUUUAUAAGUGAAUAAAAACACUAGGAAAAAGAAAUUGAGUCAUAUAAGGGAUCAUCUAGCAAACAGGUUUUUGUCAAGUUCCAAAUGUAGUAACACUACAACAAAAAUUAUCUACUACGACAGUUGUUUAUAUCACAAAAUGGAGGGAGGAAAAAAAAUUAUCACAAAAGGAAAAAAAACGCGCGGGAAAAGGCGAAACUUUUCGGAUAAUACUUUUCGCGACAGUUAUUUGACGUCAUAGUAUUGUAAUUGAAAAAAAAUUUAGAGGCCUAGAACCACAAAUGAAAGUCACGAAUGAACCAUCAUCAUUCUUCUUAAAUCGCCACUAAUCUUAAAAGUGCAAGCAUUGUAUAUAUGUUUAAUUUUUAAAAUAAAAAGAAAACAGUUCUAAAAAAGAAAAUGGUUAUCAAUUCCUAUCUGAUGAGUUGUGGUAAAAAUUAUAUCAAUAAAAUGAACAAGAAAAAAAGAAGUGUAAGGAAGGAAAAGUUGAAUACCGUAGAACCCAACGAAUUUUGACCUAAUCGGCUUAACUCUCCUACAUUCUACAGGCUAUUGUUGCUUCGGCCGUGAGUGAAUAUUUUCCUACGCAAGUUCUGAUAUCGAAGGAACCCAACGCAUUCUGACCUAAUUGGCUUAACUCUUCUACUUUCAACUGGCUAUUGUUGCUUCGGCCAAGAGUGAAGAGUUACCUAUACAACUAUCGAUCCCGAAGGAACCCGACGCAUUCUGACCUAACCACUUUAACUCUCCUACUUUCUACAGAAAUUGAUGCUUUGGCCAAGAGUAAAAAGUUCCCUAUGUGAAUUCUGAUACGUAAAGAACUUGAUGCAUUCCAACCUAACCAGCUUAACUCUCCUACUUUCUACCGGUUAUUGUUGCUUCAGCCAAGAGUGAAGAGUUCUCUACGCAAGCUUUGAUUCUGAAGGAACCUGACGUAUUCUGACCUAACUAGCUUAACUAUCCAACUUUCUACAGGCUAUUGUUGCUUCAACCAAGAGUGAAGAGUUCCUUAUGCAAUUUAGGAACCCGAUGCAUUUUGACCUAACCGGCUUGACUUUCCUACUUUCUACGGCCUAUUGUGGCUUCGGCGAAGUGAAAAGUUCUUUACGCAAGUUCUGAACUCAAAGGAACCCGAUGGAUUUUGACCUAACCCGCUUAACUCUCCUACUUUCUACCGGCUAUAGUUACUACAACCAAAAGUGAAAAGUUCCCUACGCAAGUUUUGAUCCCGUAGGAACCCGAUGCAUUGCGACCUAAUCGACUUAUCUCUCUAACUUUCUAUGGGCUGUUAUUGCUUCAUCCAAGAGUGAAGAGUACCUAAUGCACGUUCAUGUCUCGAAGGAACCCGAUGCACUCUGACCUAAUCGAUUUAACUCUCCUACUUUCUAUGGGUUAUUAUGGCUUCGACAAAGAUUGAAGAGUUCUCCACACAAGUUCUGAUCUCGAAGGAACCCAACACAUUCUGAACUAACCAGCUUAACUCUCCUACAUGCUACGGGUUAUUAUGGCUUCGACCAAAGAGUGAAAAGUUCUCUACGCUAGUUUUGAUCACGAAGGAACCCGAUGCAUUUUUGCCUAACCGACUUAACUCUCGUACUUUCUAUGGGGUAUUGUGGCUUUAGCCGAGAGUGAAGAGUUCCCGAUAAAAGUUCUGAUUCGGAAGGAACCUGACACACUUUGAGCUUUUCGGCUUAACUCUCCUACAUUUUACGGGCUACUGUAGGUUCAGCCGAGAGUGAAGAGUUCACGAACAAGUUCUGAUUCUAAAAGAACCCGAUUCAUUUUAAUCAAACCAGCUUAACUCUUUUACUUUCUACGGGCUAUUGUGGCUUCGGCCGAGAGUGAAGAGUUCCUCACACAAGUUCUAAUCCCAAAGCAACUCGACGCAUUCUAACCUAAUCGGGUUAACUCUCCUACUUUCUACAUGUUAUUGUUGCUUCAACCAUAAGUGAAGAUUUCAUUAUGAAAGUUUUGAUCCGGACGGAACCCUACGCACUCUGAGCUAUCCGACUUAAUUCUCCUACAUUCUACAGGCUAUUGUUGCUUGGUCGAGAGUGAAGAGUUCACCAACAAGUUCUGAUCACGAAGGAACCAGACGCAUUCUAACCUGAUCGGCUUAACUCUCUUACUUUUUAUGGGCUAUUGUGGCUUCGGCCGUGAGUGAAGAGUUCCGGACACAAGUUCUGAUCUCAAAGGAACUCUAUACAUUCUGACCUAAUAUGCUUAACUCUUCUACUUUUUAUGGGCUAUUGUUGCUUCGACCAUGAGUGAAGAUUUUCCUACGCAAGUUCUAAUAUCGACAGAACCGAAUGCAUUUUGACCGAACUAGCUUAACUCUUCUACUUCCAACGACCUAUUGUUGCCUCGACCAAGAGUUAAGAGUUCUAUAUGCAAGUUCUUAUUCUGAAGGAACCCGAUGCAUUCUGACCCAACCGUCUUAACUCCCCUACUUUCUACGGGCUAUUGUGGCUUCGACAAAGAGUGAAGAGUUCUCUAAGCAAGUUCUGAUCCUAAAGGAACCCGACGCAUUCUGACCUAACCGAUUUAACUCUCCUACUUUCUACGGGCUAUUGUGGGUUUAGUCGAGAGUGAAGAGUUGUUGAUGAAAGUACUGAUCUCGAGGGAACUAGAUGCAUUUUAACCUAUUCGGCUUAACUCUCCUACUUUCUAUGGUCUAUUGUGGCUUCAACCGAGGGUGAAAAGUUCCCAACACAAGUUCUGAUCUGGAAGGAACCCGACGCAUUUUAACCUAUUUUGCUUAGCUCUCAUACUUUCUAUGGGCUAUUGUGGCUUCAGCUAAGAGGGAAAAGUUCCUGACACAAGUUAUGAUACCAAAGGAACUCGAUGCAUUCUAACCUAACCAGCUUAACUCUAUUACUUUCUACGAGCUAUUAUUGCUUUGACCAUGAGUGAAGAUUUUCCUAUGCAAGUUCUGAUAUCGAAAGAACCAAAUGCAUUCUGACCCAACUGGCUUAACUUUUCUACUUCCAACGGGCUAUUGUUGCUUCGGCCAAUAGUAAAGAGUUCCCUACGAAAAUUCUGAUUUCAAAGGAACUCGAUGCAUUCUGACCUAACCGUCUUAAUUCUCUUACUUUCUACAGGCUAUUUUUGCUUCCACCAAGAGUUAAGGGUUCCCUACGAAAGUAUUGGUCUCGAUGGAACCCAAUGAAUUAUGAUUUAACCACUUUAACUCUCCUACUUUCUAUAGUAUUGCUUCGGCCAAGAGGGAAGAGUUCCCUAUGCAAAUUCUGAUAUUGAAGGAACCUGACACAUUUUGACCUAACCAGCUUAACUCUCCUACUUUCUACAAGUUAUUGUUGCUUCGGCCAAGAAAGCAUUCCCUACGCAAAUUUUGAUCCUGAAGGAACCCGACGCAUUCCGACCUAACCGGCUUAACUCUCAACCUUUUUAUGGGCUAUUGUUGCUUCGACCAAGAGUUAAGAGUUCCCUAUGCAAGUUCUAAUAUCGAAGGAACCAAAUGCAUUUUGACCUAACUGGCUUAACUCUCCUACUUUCUACAGGCUAUUGUGGCUUUAGCCGAGAGUGAAGAGUUCCAUGAAAUUUCUGGUCAGGAAGGAACCCGAUGCAUUUUAACAUAUUCGGCUUAACUCUCCUACUUUCUAUGGGCUAUUGUGGCUUCAACUGAGAGUGAAGAGUUCCCGACACAAGUUCUGAUCCCAAAGGAACUUGAUGCAGUCUGACCUAUCCGAGUUAAUUCUCCUACUUCCUACGGGCUAUUGUUGCUUCGACCAUAAGUGAAGAUUUCCCUACGCAAGUUCUUAUAUCGAAAGAUCUAAACGCAUUCUCACCUAACUGGCUUAACUCUUUUACUUCCAACGGGUUAUUGAAGCUUCAGCCAAGAGUGAAGAGUUCCCUACGAAAAUUUUGAUCCUGAAGGAAAUCGACGCAUUUCUGACCUAAUUGGCUUAACUAUCCGACUUUGUACAGGCUCUUUUUGCUUCAGCCAAGAGUUAAGGGUUCCUUACGCAAGUAUGGAUCCCGAAGGAACCCGACACAUUCUGAUCUAACCGCUUUAACUCUCCUACUUUCUAUAUGAAAUUAUUUCUUUGGCCAGGAGGGAAGAGUUCCCUACGAAAAUUUUGAUACGAAGUGAACCCGACGCAUUCCGACCUAACCAGCUUAACUCUCCUACUUUCUACGGGCUAUUGUUGCUUCAGCCAAAAGUGAAGAGUUCCCUAAGCAAAUUUUGAUUCCGAAGAAACCGAUGCAUACCGACCUAACCGGCUUAACUCCCCGACUUUCUAUGCGUUAUUGUUGCUUUGACUAAGAGUUAAGAGUUUCCUACGCAAGUUCUGAUUCUCGAGGAACCCGAUGCAUUCUAACAUAAAUGGCUUAACUCCCGUACUUUCUACGGGCUAUUGUGGCUUCGGCCGAGAGUGAAGAGUUGUCGAAGAAGUUAUGAUCCCAAAGAACCCGAUGCAUUUUAACCUAACCGGCUUAAUUCUCCUACUUUCUACGAGCUAUUGUGGCUUCAAUCGAGAGUCAAGAGUUCCCGACACAAGUUCUGAUCCCAAAGAUUUCCUUGUGCAAGUUCGGAUAUCUAAAGAACCAAACAUGCAUUCUGACCUAACUGGCUUAACUCUUCUACUUUCAACCGGCCAUUGUUGCUUCGACCAAGAGUGAAGAGUUCCCUACGAAAAUUUUGAACCCGAAGGAACUUGACACAUUCUAAACUAAUUGGCUUAACUCUUCGACUUUCUACGGGCUAUUUUUGCUUCCACCAAGAGUUAAGAGUUCCCUACGCAAGUAUUGAUCCCGAAGGAACCCAUCGCAUUAUGAUUUAGUCGCUUCAACUCACCUUCUUUCUACAGGAAAUUGUUGCUUUCACCAAGAGUGAAGAGUUCCCUACGCAAAUACUAAUACAGAAGGAACCCGACGCAUUUCGACCUGACCAACUUAUCUUUCCUACUUUCUACAAGUUAUUGUGGCUUCGGUCGAGAGUGAAGAGUUUCCUACGAAAGUUUGAUCCUGAAAGAACCCAAUGCAUUAUGACUUAAUAGGCUUACCUCUCCUACUUUCUACCAGCUAUUGUAGCUUCGACCGUGAGUGAAGAGUUCUGAUGCAAGUUUUGAUCCCAAACGAACCCGACGCAUUCUAACCUAACAAGCUUAACUCUCCUACUUUCUACGGGCUAUUGUAGCUUCAGGCAAGAGUGAAAAGUUCUCUACACAAGUUCUCUACUUUCUAUGGGCUUUUUAUUAUAAGUGUAAAGAAAUAGGUGUAUGAAUUGGAUUGAUGAACAUUUUUUUGAAUUUUUUUUAAGCUUAAAAGGAUAUUUAUGGAACUUUCAAUAAUUCAUCAAUAUUUUUUAAACAGAACUUUUCAAUAGUUGAUGAUUAUUUUUUAAACAAAACUUUAGCGACUUUCAUCUAAAACCAAAGACAAUGGUAUUUUUGAACCGUUUUCGAAAGUUUAAGGGCAUCUUUCAACUUUUAAAAGGAGACAUUUUUGACACAAACCACUAGGGGUAUUCUAACACUGACAACACUAACAACACUAACAACCCAGACUACCCAUCCCAAAUUUCGAGUAUUAUUACAAAAUAUGUUUUUUAACUUAUGGAUAUGUUGAAUUUUGAUAUUAUGAAAUUUUAGUAAUUGAUAUGUGUGGUAAAAAAAUUUAAGUGUUUAAGUUAAUCAAGAAUACACUCCGUUUACAAGGAGUACAAGGAGUCCAAGUAGAUAUUAGUUGUGUUUGAAAAAUUAUGAAAAAAAAGUCCUAUUUUAAAAAAAAGUACAAUCAAGUGAAAUGUUACAUAAACUUCACAACAUAGUUAAUAAGAUAACACAAUAUUACAAGAUUUUGUUUACACGUAUACAUAUAUAUACCUCAUUUUUCCCUCCUCUCAAAAUACAUCAUGGAAAGAAUAAAACAAACACAAAAUCAAUAACAUGAGGCAAACCACAGUUUGAACCAUGCACAAUGCUCUCUCUUUCUAGACUUUUAAUGCACGGUCAUUCUGUUUUCCGGCACUGGUUGUAAAGCAGUUCUCACUUUCACGCCACCUCCAACAACUUUUGUGUUGAUGUUAUUAUUUUCCAUCUUCUUAUGGUUAAGUUGGAGUUUUUCCUUGAACAACUUCCUCAGCUGCCUUAGGCUAGUAUUAUCAUUCUUCACCACUAACUGAAUGAACUUUGCUUUGUUCUGUUCUUUUUCAGCUUCUUCUUCCUCAGCAUCUGGGUUGUCCAUUAGCAAACUAAUGGUUUGUUCUUCAACGGGAGAUUUGGCUUCUAUUGUUGGCCUAGGGAAUUGGUUUGCCAAUGAUUGAACUGCAUUGUUGUUGGAGGAUGUGAUAGUGAUUUCCACCAAAGCUUCCUCACAUUGAACAAUGGCAUUUGGGAUUUCUGGUUGUGAGUCGAUAGCUUCGACAAUUAUGUCUUUAGGAAGAGUUUCUUCUUCCAUUUUCCAUUGGAUCUUGACAUCAACCAAAUCAUCAGAAACAUUCUCGGGAACUCCUCCGUGGACUUAUUGAUAAUUGUAUCAUCUUCUUCAGCUUGAACGGAACUUUUCUCCAUUUUUGUUUCCUUCUUGUCUCCUUCAAUGUCAGCAUCUGAUGCUACAUUUCCGGUUGUGGGAUCUGAUCAUUUUCAUCUUGAUCGUCUUUCACUUCCAAAGAUUCUUCAUCACUGCUCAAGGCAUCAUCUCCAUCAACUUCAGUUUCUUCUUCCACAUUUUCGUGGGGAAGAGACAGUUCUUCAGCAGAGUUAUUCACGUGUGUUUUCUUCUUCAACAUCUUCUUCAAUUUUAUGUUUCAAUUCACAGGUAGACUCAUUUUGUUGAGAUUCAAAUUCCAUACCAAAUUCUUCUGCAAUGCUCGAUUUGUGAACUUCAGUAACAUCCAAGUCUUCAGUAGGCAGAGAAGAUUUGUCAGAUUCAUUGAUUUUCUCAGCAGAAAUCUCCACAGAAUCAUCAUCUUUCGAAACUUCAUUUACUUUUUCAUCUUCAGAGAAGCAUUGCACAUCCGAGUUAGCAUGAGGUGCCUCUGUUUUAGAAUCAUCAACGCUCUUUGCACUAGUUACAUUUUCAUCAAAAGAUUUUAACAGAUCAUCAAGAACCAUUUCUGGUUCCUUCUCUGAGAGUGCAGUAAGUGUAUUGUUAGCAAUGUAGUAGGCAUAAGGUAGGAACAGGAUGCAUUUUGUGUUUUAUCCAUCUAAGUUUUUGGUUUAUGCAACAAAACCUUAGCUUGAAUUACAACUUCAUAUCAUUUUUCCUACUGCAUUCAGGACAUAAUCAGAAGAUACACUGAAUGUUCUUGCAUUGGGAAGAAGCAUGCUGCUUUGGCUGGUUCUUUGGGUUCCUUCACAUGGGAAAAGCCUUCACAUUCAGAGUUUGAGCAAUUAGCAAGGCUAUUAUUCUCCCAUGACUCUGAAACUUAUGUUAUUUAGUUCACCAUAUUAUCGUCGAUAAUGAACCAAAUUUCAUUUCUGAAUUGCGAUUUGACCAAGAAUUUGAAAACAAAAAUGCAUAUUGUUUUCUUUUUUAUUCUUUUCUAUUGCGUAUCAUUUUCUAUUGGUCAUUUGUUGUGCAAUGUCUUCUUCUUAAGUCAUUGGUUACUUUGUAAAGAGAAAAACAAAGUGAUUUAUUUCAUCGUUCUACUCUUUCUACAACAUUUCCGUACAAAAACAAGAACACUGCUAACAGGUAGAUCAAACUUCGCUAAAAUUCGUUUCCCUUCUUGGAAGAUAUUCGUCCAUGCCUAAACCUGCAGCUGGAAACUGAUUGUUCUCGAUCAUGUCCAGUGUUGAACCCCCAAAUGGAUUGGAAGGAUCAAGGGUGAAGGUUUAUUUUCUUCUUAUCGUUGGUUAGAGUUUUUCUUUCGUUUUCUUCUGCUUUGAGUCAAUUCCAUUGUUUUUUAAGAAUUUAAAGUUAUGGGUGUGAUGAUCCUUUGUUAGGAACGUUUUGGCAAGACUGGAGACUGCUUAUCUGAGUCGGAAUCCCACUGCAAAAUCAUUUUGGAGCUUAUUCGAUCAGUUCAUGUUGAUACAAAUUUCUCUUGAUCGUAAUGCAUUUGGAACUUUUGGAGUAUUUUUCUUCCUUCCAUUUAUUUUCAACUUUCAAUUUCAUUUUCAAUUUCUGCGUAUUUUUUAUUCUUUCUUAUGUAUAUUGUUUUCUAAUGGUCAUUUGUGGUGCAAAUUCUUUCCUUUUAAGUCAAUGGUUAUUUUGUAAAUAGAAAAACAAAGUGAACCAUGUCAUCGUUCUACUCUUUCUACAACAUUUCCAUAAAGAAGCAAGAAAACAAUAGUCUUUUGUGAUUUAACAUUCUGCCAUUCGUGACGAUACCCUUAAAUCUCCUCACAAUCUCUUUGUUCUUCCAACAAUCAUUAAGAAAAAUCCCUAGAAAUCGAACUCCAUGUCUUCCCUUUUCUCCCAACCGGCCAUAAUUUUUCUCACUCUCCAAACAAAAUCGUUUCAACCUUAUUUUACUUCACUACCCAUUUCCAAAAUUUUCAUUUCCCUCGGAAAUUCUUUGUCGAUGUUGAAACCUGCAGCUGGGAAUCGAUUGUUCUCGAUCUUGUCGAGUGCCGGUUCUAAUGGAUUGCAAGGAUCAAGGGUUAAGGUUUAUUUUUUAGUUGUCGUUGUUUAGAGUUGUUGUUCUGUUUUUUUCUGCUCUAAUUUCAUUGCAUUGUUUUUGAAGAAUUUAAAAGAUAUGGGUUGUGAUGAUCGUUGAUAGGGAGCUGAAUCCUUUGUUAGGAAUGUUUUGGUGAGCAUGGAGGCAGUUUAUCUGAGUGGGAAUCCCACUGCCCAUCUUUUUUGGGGCUUGUUCGUUCGGUUCAUAAUGAUACAAAGAACUUUUUGGGUAUUUUUCUUCCUUCCAUUUUUUUUCUACUUCCAAUUUCAUUUCCAAUUUCUUGAUUGAGCAUUCAAUUUCAGGAAAUGCACUGUAUACUGUCAAAAGCAAAUUUCAGUUGGCAAGUGGUUUGGAAUAUCAGAAAAAAGUAAUUGUAUAGUUUAUAAGGUAAUUUUGAGGUGAUUUAAGAAAAAUUGGUUGUUCGGCAAUCAAUUUUUCUACAUUACCUCGACUCUACCUUAAUAGAGGACAUGUGUGUCUUCUAGUUUCACAUUAGUUGGGUCUUUCUUUUCUAUUGCAUAUUAUUUUAUGUUGGUGAUUCGUUGUGCAAUGUGUUUGUUUUAAGUCAUUGGUUACUUUAUAAAGAGAAAUACAAAGUGAAUUAUUUCAUCGUGUACUCUUUCUACAACAUUUCCGUAAAUAAGCAAGAAAACUGCAAACAGGGAGGUGAAACUUUCUUUAAAAUUCAAUUGGCCAUUUCUUCAUUUUUGAUUUAAUAUUUGUGUCAUGACCCUUAAAUCUCCUCACAAUCUCUUUGUUCUUCCAACAAUCAUUAAGAAAAAUCCCUCGAAUCUGAACCCCAUGUCUUUUCUUUUCUCCUCACCAGCUAGAAUUUUGCCCACUCUCCAAACAAAAUCUUUUCAACCUUAUUUUUCUUUACUACCCAUUUCCAAAAAUUUGAUUUCCCUCCUCGAAAAAUCUUCGUCCAUGCAGAAACCUGCGGCUGGGAGCUGAUUGUUCUCGAUCAAGUCCAGUGCUGAACCCCCAAAUGGAUUGCAAGGAUCAAAGGUUAAGGUUUAUUUUUUUGUUAUCGUUGGUUAGAGUUUUUGUCUUUUUUUUUCUGCUUUGAGUUAAUUUCAUUGUUUUUGAAGAAUUUAAAGUUGUGGGUUGUGCUGAUUCUUUCUUAGGAACGUUUUGGAAAACCUGGAGACUGCAAAUCUGAGACGAAAUUCUACUCAAAAUCCGUUUUGGAGCUUGUUCUAUCUGUUCAUGGUGAAUCAAGUCCGUUUUGUUCUGCUUGCACUUUCAUUUUGAAUUUUUGCAUAUUUUUUAUUCUUUUCGAUGUAUAUUGUUUUCUAAUGGGCAUUUAGUGUGCAAUGUCUUUCUUUUAAGUCAUUGGUUACUUUGUAAAGAGAAAAAAAAGUGAAUUAUGUCCUUGUUCUACUCUUUCUACAACAUUUACAUAAAAAAGCAAAAAAACUGCUAAAACAGGCAAAUCAAACUUCCUUAAGCAUUCAAUUGGCCAUUUAGUCUUUUGGGAUUUAACAUUCUUCCAUUCUUUUUGUUACCCUUAAAUCUCUUUGUUCUUCCAACAAUCAUUAAGAAAAAUCAUUGUAAACCGAACCCCAUGUGUUUCAUUUUUCUCCUCAUCGGCCAGGAUUUUGUUUGGGGAGUUGACAAAAUUCUGGCCGAUGAGGAGAAAAAUGAAACACAUGGGGUUCGGUUUACAAUUUUGUCAACUCCCCAAACAAAAUUCUUUCAACCUUAUUUUUCUUCACUACCAAUUUCCAAAAUCUUCAUUUCCCUCGGAGAAUCUUUGUCGAUGCCGAAACUUGCGGCUGGGAACCAAUAGUUCUCAAUCAUGUCCAAUGUUGAACCUCCCAUUGGACGACAAUGAUUAAGGGUUAAGGUGGAUUUUUUUGUUAUCGUUGGUUAGAAUUCUUGUUGUGUUUUUUUCUGCCUUGAUUUAAUUCCAUUGCUUUUGAAGAAUUUAAAGUUAUAGGUUUGUGAUGCAUGUUGAUGGGAAGCUGAAUCCUUUGUUCGGAAAGUUUUGGUCAACAUGGAUGCAAUUUGUUGGAGUCAGAAUCCCAUUGCAAAAUCUGUUUUGGGGAUUGUUCAAUUUGUUCAUGAUGAUACAACUUGUUAUGUUCACAUUGCAUUUAUAACUGUUGGGGUAUUUUUCUUCCUUCCAUUUUUUUUCUACUUCCAAUUUCAUUUUCAAUUUCUGGAUUGAGCAUUCAAUUUCAAGAAACCCAUUGCAUAUUUGUCAAAAGAAAAUUUCAGUUGGCAAGUGUUUUGGAACAUCAGGAAAAAAUAAUUGUAUAGUUUAUAAGUUCGGGUAAUUUUGAGGUAGUUGUCCGGUAAUGAAUUUUUCUAAAUUACCUUGACUCUACCUUAAUAUAGGACGUGUGUGUCUUCUAAUUUCACUUUAGUUGGGCCUUUCUUUUUACUGGAUCUUAUUUUGUAUUGGUCAUUCGUUGUGCAAGCCUGGAGCCGGCUUCUAUGAGUCGGAAUCCCACUACAAAAUUCGUUAUAGAGCUUGUUCGAUUUGUUCACAAUGAGACAUGUUUGUUAUGAUCGUAUUGCAUUUAGAACUUUUGGGGUAUUUUUCUUCCUUCCAUUUUUUUCCUACUUCCAAUUAUAUUUUUAAUUUCUGCAUUUUUUUUAUUGUUUCUUGAGUAUAUUGUUUUCUAUUGGUCAUUUGUUGUUCAAUGUCUUUCUUUUAAGUCAUUGGUUACUUUGUAAAGAGAGAAACAAAGUGAACCAUGUCAUCGUUCUACUCUUUGUACAACAUAUCCAUAAAGAAGCAAGAAAAUUGCAUAUAGCCAUACCAAACGUACAAUUCAAUUCCCAUUCCUCUGUCUUUUCCCUAGCUUGAAAGAGAAUUUCUUUCUUCCUUCUUCCUCUCAAUUGGCCAUUUAGUCUUUUCGGGGAUUUAACAUUCUGCCAUUGUCGUUGCCGUUAAACCUUCUCACAAUCUCUUUGUUCUUCCAACAAUCAUUAAGAAAAAUCUGUGUAAACUAAACCCCAUUUCUUCCAUUCUCUUUCCACUGGCUAGAGUUUUUCCCACUCACCAAACAAAAUCCUCUCAACCUUAUUUUUCUUCACUACCCAUUUCCAAAAUUUUCAUUUACUUGGAAAUUCAUUGUCGAUGUCGAAACCUGCAGCUCGGAAUCGAUUGUUCUCGAUCAUGUCCCGUUCUGAACCUCCCAAUGGACUGCAAGGAUCAAGGCUUAAGGUUUAUUUUUUUGUUAUUGUUGGUUAGAUUUCUUGUUUUGUUUUGUUCUGCUUUAAGUUAAUUGCAUUGUGUUUGAAGAAUUUAAAGUUAUGGGUGAGAUGAUCCUUUCUUAGGAACGUUUUGGUAUGGAUUGAUGUGACAAUAUGGAUUGAUGUAUCUUUUUCAAGUAAAAAAUAAUUAAAAGCGGAUAAAUACACAACAUAAAUUAAUUACAACGUAGAAACAAAAUAAUUACAGUUGAAGAAUGUGGAUAUUUUGGUAUUUUAUAAAAUACCGUGCACGUGCAAAAAAUACUAUUUGCUAAAAUUCAAAAGAAAAAGUAGUUUGUCAUUUUUCAAAAUGAUCCAUAAAAAUGUUGUUAUAUCUCUUAUGACAAAGAGUGUGAAUCUACUAGUCCAUAUUCGACUUGUUUUUUUGUUGGUAAAAUUGGAUAAGACCGCAUUAUAUUGAAAUAAAUACACUAAUGACAUUUUAAAACCAAUAGUGAUAGAAAUUAUAAUUUAAUUAAUGUUCUUAAGUCAAAUAAACAUGGUUUAAAAGUCUUUAUAAACACAAUUAGUGUAAUUGUUUUUAAUUUUAAUUCAUUUACACAUCUUUGUGCGUGUGUGAGUUUGUGUGGGUGCGUGCGCAUGCGCAUGUGCGUGUAUGUGUGUGCGUUUGUGCGUAUGUUCGUGUGUGGCUGUCGCGCGUGUGUACGUGUGUGUACACGUGCGUACAUGUGUGUGUGCACAUGUGUGCGUACAUGUUUGCGUGUAUGCACAUUUUGUGCGUGUGCAUGUGUGGGUGGGUGUGCACAUGUGCUUGUGUGCAAACAAGUUGAUAUUUUUUAAUGUAGACUUUCUCCUAGUUUUAAAAUAAUAAUUUAGUUAUCUUUAUAUUCAAACUAUUAAUGUUAUUUUGAGAUAAAGAUGGUGAACAAGUUGAUACUUUUUAGUUUUGAAAUUCAAUUAAGAUUAUUUCAAUACAAAAUCUAUCGUUGCGAUUUUAAAAUUCUGAAAAAUAAUAAUUUUGUUAUUUUGAAAUUCAAUUUGGUUAUUUUAAAAUUCAAAUUCAAUUAGGUUAUUUUGAAAAUAGUAAGAUUGUAUAAAGUUAUAAAAACUUGAACCAAUUAGUUGAGUCUCGAGAUAUUAAGAAAAAAGUUAUGACAUGGGUUGAUGUAUCUUUUUCAGGUAAAAAAUAAUUAAAAGCUGAUAAAUGCAUAACAUAAAUAUAUUACAACGUAGAAACGGAAUAAUUACAGUUGGAGAAAGUGGAUAUUUUGAUAUUUUAUAAAAUACCAUGCACGUGCAAUAAGGCUAUAUGUUAAAAUUAAAAAAAAAAAAGUUUUGCCAUUUUUUAAAUUGACCCAUAAAAACGUUGUUAUAUCUCUUAUGAAUAGUGUGAAUCUACUAGUCCAUAUUCGACUUGUUUUUUUUUUUUUUGUAAAAUUGGAUAAAAUCGCAUUAAAUUGAAAUAAUCACACUAAUGACACUUUUCAACCAAUAUUGAUAAAAAUUAUAAUUUAAUUAAUGUUAUUAAGUCAAAUGAACAUGGUUUAAAAGUCUUUUUAAACACAAGUAAUGUAAUUGUUUCUUAUCUUUAAUUCAUUUACGCAGUUUUGUGCAUUUGUGCGUGUGUGUAUGUGCGUGCGUGUGGGUGUGUGGGUAUGCGUGUGGGUGUGAGUGUGCGUUCGUGCGUGUGUGUAUGCGUGCGAGUGUGUGUGCGUGCAAGUGUACGUUUGUGCACAUUUGUGCAUGUGGGUGGGUGUGUGUAUGCGUGUGUGCAUUCGUGUUUGUGUGCUGAUGUGCACACGUGUGUGUGUGUGCUUAUGUGUGUCUGUGUGUGUGCGGACGCGUAUGUGCUUGUGCGCGUGGGUGUGUCGGUGUGUGUGCACUCAUACGUGCGUGUGUACGUGUGUGCGCGUUUGCCCGUGUCCGUGUGUGCUUGUGUGUGAACAAGUUGAUAUAUUUUAAUGUUGAGUUUCUCUCAAAUUUAAAAUAAUAAUUUUAUUAUCUUGAUAUUCAAGUCAUUAAUGUUAUUUUGAGAUAAAAGAUAGCGAACAAGUUGAUAUUUUUUAAUUUUGAAAUUCAAUUUAGGUUAUUUUAAUACAAAAUCUAUCUGAAAUUUUGAAAUUUUGAAAAAUAAUAAUUCUGUUAUUUUGAAAUUCAAUUUGGUUGUUUUGAAAUUUCAAUUCCAUUAGGUUAUUUUGAAAAUUGUAAGAUUGAGUAAAUUUAUGAAAAUCUUGAAUCAAUUACUUGAGUCUCGAGAUAUUAAGAAAAAAUUUAUGAUAUAGGUUUAUGUAUCUUUUUCAGAUAAAAAAAUAAUUAAAAGUUGAUAAAUGCAUAACAUAAACUAAUUACAAAGUAGAAACAAAAUAAUUACAGUUGGAGAAGAUGAAUAUUUUGGUAUUUUAGAAAAUACCAUGCACGUGAUAGAAUGCUAUUUGCUAAAAUUCAAAAGAAAAAGUAGUUUUGUCAUUUUUAAAAUGACCCAUAAAAACGUUGCUAUAUCUCUUAUGAUAAAGAGUGUGGAUCUACGGGUCCAUAUCGACUUGUUUUUUGUUGUUAAAAUUGGAUAAAACUCCAUUAUAUUAAAAUAAUUACACUAAUGACACUUUUCAACCAAUAUUGAUAAAAAUUGUUAUUUAAUUAAUGUUAUUAAGUCAAAUGAAUAUGGUUUAAAAGUUUUUCUAUGCUUUAUGUGUGCGUUCGUGCGUGUGUGCGUGUGCGAACAUGUUGACAUUUUUUAGUGAUGAGAUUCUUCCAAUUUUAAAAUAAUAAUUUCGUUAUCUUGAUGUUUAAGCCAUUAAUGUUAUUUUGAGAUAAAAAUAGCGAACACGUUGAUAUUUUUUAAUUUUGAAUUCAAUUAAGGUUAUUUUGAUACAAAAUCUAUGUUGAGAUUCUCAAAUUCUGAAAAAUAAUAAUUUUGUUAUUUUGAAAUUCAAAUUCAAUUGGGUUAUUUUGAAAUUAGUAAGAUUGAAUAAAGUUAUUAAAAUAUUGAAUCAAUUAGUUGAGUCCCAAGAUAUUAAAAAAAAAGUUGCAAUAUGGAUUGAUGUAUAUUUUUCAAGUAAAAAUUAAUUAAAAGCUGAUAAAUGACAUAAAUUAAUUACAACGUAGAAACUAAAUAAUUACAGUUGGAGAAGGUGGAUAUUUUGUAAAAUACCAUGCACGUGCAAAAAAUGUUAUUUGCUAAAAUUCAAAAGAAAAAAUAGUUUUUCCAUUUUUUAAAAUAACCCAUAGAAAAGUUGUUAUAUCUCUUAGGACAAAGAGUGUGGAUCUACAGGUCCAUAUUCGACUUAUUUUUUGUUGGUAAAAUUGCAUAAAACCGCAUUAUAUUGAAAUAAUGACACUCUUAAACCAAUAUUGAUAGAAAUUAUAAUUUUAAUUAAUGUUUUUAAGUCAAAUGAACAUGAUUUUUACUCCUAAACAUAAUUAUUGUAAUUGUUUUUUAAUCUUAAUUCAUUUACACAUCUUUGUGCAUAUGUGUGCGUGCGCGUGGGCGUGUGGGUGAGUGUAACGACCCAACUUUUCUGGGUAAGUCGAGGUCGUUAAUUUUUGACAAAAGACUUUGGUUGAUACAAAUUGAAACAUAAGUCAAUUUAAAAACAAAACAUGUCAGGCCUGAUUUUCAAAUAUUCAAGAAAACUUAACAAUAACACUAUUUACAAAUAAAAGUUUGUAAACUAAGUUUUAGUACAUCUUAAACCUUAAAAGAAAUCAUAAGUGGAAGCAAAAUAACACAUUCCCUAUGGCAAUCACGCUUCCUUCCUGCCCCUCGCCAGUUUGCCACCUUUAUUUCCUUUGCCUGAAAAUUAAACAUAAGAAGGGUGAGUAUAACAAUACUCAGUAAGAGACCCUCUACUGGUCUCGUCAGGGGAAAAUAAAUUGUUAAAGUUCUAUUGGGACACCCUGUACAGUCGCAGUCUUGUGAUCCCGUAGGAUACACAUUUCAGUCUAACGCCCCGAAGGACGUACAUAUCAGUCUAACGCCCCGAGGGACGUACAUAUCAAUCUAACGCCCCGAGGGACGUACAUAUCAGUCUAACGCCCCGAGGGACGUACAUAUCAGUCUAGUGUUCUGCAGAAACACAUAUCAGUCAAAUGCUCCCGAAGGUGCACAAUAAAUUGGUGAUCCCGUGGGACACCUACAAGGUAAACAUCCCAAUACAACCUAACAAUUUAUCCCCUCAUUCCAUUCAACCCAUCUUUCAGUUACUUCAAAUCACAAAGUCCUUUCUUUCAACAUCCUAACAGUCAACUUAUUUUACUACAAUCAUCUGUCUGUCAAUAAUAUGCUAAUACAUCAGUCAAUCCACUAUACAGUCAAGUCAAUACACCCCUCAGUUCACCAGCACAAACCACAGUUCAGUAUAAUCCACAUCCAACCGAAACAAAUUCACUAGUUCACAUCCAAUCUUUAUACAGCACAAUCUAUUAAUAUCAUCAUGCAUACAUAAGCAUAAUUUCAAUCAUUCACAUGUAUACUUUCGGCAAUCCACAUCAAUUCACACAUCAAUGUGUAUAUAUGUGUUUCCAGUCAAAUACAACAUACACUAAACAUUUAGUCUGCAAUCAAACAUAUACAUCUUAAUCAUCAUCCAUACAGUCCAACACAACUCAAAAACUUUAGGUGAGUCCAGUAGAAAAUCCCUUACCUCAAAGUUGGGGAAGCUCCUUAAUCAACUAACGUCCUCCAAACAAUCCUAAGCACAACAACACAAAAUUCAAUUACUUCCACGAUACAUAUCUCACUUACUUUCCUCAACGUAAGUUCCAACUCACCGAUAUAUUGGCGAACUGAACCCUCAACAAUUCACAAAUUGGUUGUGAAUUUAAGGGAGCCCAACGUUACUCCCAACACCUUCAAGAACCAAUUAACAAAUUAGCUAAACAUUCCAACCAUAACACUUGAACCACUUUGAAACCAAUUACCAUUCAUACUUAAGUUGUUACCAACAAAGCAACCUCGAUAAAAUUGUAAAACAGAGACAGCAGCACACCUCAACGCACGACUGUCGGACUCGCAGCAAAAAUCCUAAGUGUGGGUCGGUCAGCGGUCGGCCAAAGGAGACGUGGCGGCUGCCUCAAAAUCGAUCAACGAUCUGACGCGGUCGGAGAGUCGCGCGGCAGUGCAGAAAACAGAGGAGAACGGAAUGGGCGGCGGCUCGAAACAGAGGUUGCGCGGCAGGGCUUCACGAAGACAGAACCGGCGGAGACGGUUGCAGAACCGUGGCUUCGACGGAGACAGAACCGGCUGAGACGGCUGGGCAGCGGCGGAAGAGCAACGACGCCGCAGAUCUGGACCGGACAGUUACGCGGCGGCUGCUGCAAGGCUGCUUCGCGAACGGAGAUGAAGAACGGUUACGCGGCGGCUGCUGCAAGACUGCUUCGCGAACGGAGAUGAAGAACGAAAUGGAGGUCGCGGCGCUCAGCUUCAGUAGGGGAGACGCGGCGACCGACGGCUGCUGCGAACGGAAGAAGAAGAGGAAUGGAUGGCGGUUGCUGCGCUGCGAACGGGGAGAAGGGGAAGGGCGCACGGGAGGAAGAAGAAAAAGAAAAAAAAAGUUUUCUUUUUCUUUUCUCUUAUUUAAUAAAACAUAAAAUAAAUAUAUUAAUAAAAUAUAAUUAAAUACAUAUAUAUAUUUAAUUAUAUUAAUACAUUUCACAUCUUCUUUCUCUCAAAAUAAUUUACCUUCAAGUUUGGGGCGUUACAUUCUUCCCCCCUUAAGAAACUUUCGUCCUCGAAAGUUCUAAUCCUGAAAUAACUCUGGAUAACGAGUCCUCAUCUCUUCCUCUCGCUCCCAUGUCGCCUCUUCAAUUCGAUGAUUCCGCCACAAAACCUUUACUAAUGGAAUGCUUCUAUUACGAAGCAUCUUUACCUCUCUAGCCAGAAUCUCCACAGGUUGUUCUACAUAGCUCAAAUGCUCAUCAAUCUCCAAGGGUUCAUAGUCUACUACAUGAGAUGUAUCGGCCACAUAUUUCCUCAACAUCGAAACAUGGAAAACAUUAUGAACUGCAGAGAGAGAUGGUGGUAAUGCCAAGCGAUACGCCAUAACACCAACCUUCUCUAAGAUCUCAAAUGGUCCAACAAAUCGAGGACUUAACUUCCCUUUCUUCUCAAAACGCAUAACACCCUUCAUAGGUGCUACCUUCAAGAAUACCUUUUCUCCCACAUCAAACUUAAGGUCUUUUCGCCGUACAUCUGCAUAACUCUUCUGUCUACUCUGCGCUGUUUGCAUACGUGCUCUAAUCUUUUGAAUAGCCUCAUUAGUAGACCGAACUAAUUCAGGUCCCAUCAAUCUAUGUUCACCAACCUCACUCCAACAAACAGGGGUUCUACAACAUUUGCCAUACAAAGCUUCAAAUGGCGCCAUACCGAUGGUAGCCUGGAAACUGUUGUUAUAAGCAAACUCCAUUAAAUGUAGAUGAGAGUCCCAACUACCUGGAAACUCUAGAACACAAGCUCGUAGCAUAUCCUCUAAAACUUGGUUCAAACGUUCAGUUUGACCAUCAGUCUGUGGAUGAAAGGCUGUACUAAAAUCCAAUCUCGUACCCAUAGCAGUCUGAAGUCCCUUCCAAAACUUGGAAGUAAACCGUGCAUCCCUAUCAGAAACAAUCGAUACAGGCACUCCAUGCAGUCUCACAAUCUCAGUUAAAUACAACUCUGCCCACUUACUAGCAGUAUAAGUGGAUUUUCCUGGUACAAAAUGUGCCGAUUUCGUAAGCCUGUCCAUGACAACCAAAAUCACUGUGAAACCCUUCAGGGUCUUAGGCAGCCCUGAAAUAAAAUCCAUCGACACAUUCUCCCACUUCCACUCUGGCACACUUAAGGGUUGUAACAAACCUGCUGGUUUCUGUCUAGGUGCCUUAACCUGCUAGCACACCAAGCACUUACUAACAAUAUCUUCCAUUUCUCUCUUCAUAUUACGCUAGUAACAAACUCUUUUCAGAUCCGGAUACAUUUUUGUGCUACUUGGAUGCAUGAGAAAUGGGAAACUAUGAGUCUCAACCAAUAACCUUGUCUUAAUUGCAUUUUCUGUUGGCACACAUAAUUCUCUCUCAAACAUAAGUUCAUCAUCAAAGGAUAUGGAAAACUCCUUAACUUGCCCUACUUCUACUAGGCGAUUCUUCUCAAUCAAAUAAGGAUCAAUUAAUUGAACCACAAGAAUUCUUUGUCUCAAGAUCAGAUGUACUGACAACUGAGCUAACUGUGAGGUGACUUCCCCCACUAAAACUACAAUCUCAGCUCUCUCGUGGUUUUUGUCUAAUGAAACCUGUCUGGUAAUAAGUGCUGUCAAAAUGUGAUACUUUUCUAUGAAGAGCACCAACUUCCACAUUCGCCUUACCUAGAUGGUACAAAAUCUCACAAUCAUAGUCAUUUACUAACUGAAACCAUCUUUGCUAUCUCAUACUCAACUUCUUUUGAGUGAAGAAGUAUUUUAUACUCUUUUGGUUAGAAAAUAUCUAUAUCUUUUCAUCAUACAUAUAGUGCCUUCAAAUCAUUAAUGUAAAAACCACAACUGUCAAUUCCAUAUCAUAAGUUGGACAAUUUUCCUCACGAGGAGUACAAGCAACUACUUUAACUUGUUGAAUAAGAAUACCUUUUAAACUUUCCUAAAAGCAUCACUAUAAAUUACGGAACAUUCUGAACCAUCAUGUACGGUAAGCACGGGAGUUGUACAAGCUUCUGCUUAAGAUCCUGAACAUUAUCCUCAUAGGCUUUGUCCCAAACAAACGGAGUCCCUUUUCUUAGUUAACUGAGUCAAAGGAGUAGCUAUACGAGAAAAUUCUUAUACAAACCGUUAGUAAUAACCUGCUGAACCCAAAAAGACUACGAACCUCACUGACUAUGAAAGGUUGAGGCCACCUGGUAACGACUUCAAUCUUUUAUGAGAUCCACAUAAAUGUCAUCUCUAGAUACCACAUGGCUUGGAAAGAUACUUGGCCUCAUCCAAAACUCACAUUUUGAAAACUUUGCAUACAAUUUGUUGACUCGAAGAGCCUCUAAAACCAUGUUAAAUGCUCCUCAUGCGCUGUCUCUAUUUUGGAAUAAAUUAAGAUAUCGUCAAUAAAUACAAUCACGAAAGUGUCUAAGAGAUUGUUAAACACUUUGUUCAUCAAGUCGUAAACAUUGUUUGAGCAUUUGCCAACUCAAAAGACAUCAUAAUGAACUCAUGAUAUCCAUAUCUCGAACGAAAAUCUGCCUUAGGAAUGUCACUGUUCUCUAAUCCUCAACAAGUCAUAACCUGAAUGUAAUUCAAUCUUAAAGAACACGGACUUAUUGCAGUUGAUCAAACAAAUCCUCAUUCAUUAGUAAAAGAUAUUUAUUCUUAACCGACACCUUAUUCAACUUUCUACAAUCAAAACAUAAGUGCAUCGACCCAUCUUUCUUCUUAAUAAACAAAAAUUGGUGCACCCCAAGAUAACAUACUUCGUCGAAUGUAGUCCUUGUUAAACAUUUCUUUCAAUUGCACCUUCAAAUCUUUCAACUCUGUUGGGGCCAUUUUGUAUGAAGCUUUAGAUAUAGGAACGAGUCUAACUCUAUCUCAAUAGCAAGACCAAUUUCUGUUUAGCGCGGUAAUCUUAGAAACUCUUCUAGAAAAAUAUCAUAAUACUUUUUCACCACUAAUUCAAAUAACAAAGAAACAUCGACUUCUCUGGUGUCUACCACACUAGUCAAAUACAACAGGUACCCUGGUCAAGCAACUUACUAACCUUCAUAGUUGGGAUAACUUUUAGCGAAACGAUAGUUCCAACCUCUUUGUACUUGAAAUUAGCCUCUGGAGAAGGAUUAGAAACUACAUUUUCGCUGAACAUUUUAUGUUUACAUGGUUAAACUACAUUCCAAUUUUCAAACUCCAAACUAGUAACUUUUCAUUCACGAGAAACUCAAAAUUGUUUCUUAAAGUCACAUCAAGACAACCAUGCUCAUCUUCCUUGUUUCUUUUCCAAUACCUCCAUUCUAAAACCAUUUAAUGUGUUUCGUAUAAACUUGACCGUGUAUUUAGUCCUCUUUAAAACCACCUACAUAACUUAUUUUUCUUAGAUUUCCAAUCACAAAACAGACAAUUUCGCUAACAACGUCUUACUUUUCUACUACUCGACCACCCCUUUGAACACCUCUACAUGGCAACAUUUUUUCCUAAAUUUCACCAUUAAAUCCUUCACCAUUAAAUCAUAACAUUCAUGUAAUUCUAGUUUAACUUAGGCAAGGUCAUAUACAUAAACCAUACAUAUAAGCAUAAAGCAUACCUGACGAGAGACGAAGGUCGCGUUAGCCAUAGGAACACAAAAACAUAGACUUACAUCGUAAGUCAGUCUACAGAACCUAAAACUUAGGCUCUGAUACCAACUGUAACGACCCAACUUUUCUGGGUAAGUCGAGGUCGUUAAUUUUUGACAAAAGACUUUGGUUGAUACAAAUUGAAACAUAAGUCAAUUUAAAAACAAAACAUGUUAGGCCUGAUUUUCAAAUAUUCAAGAAAACUUAACAAUAACACUAUUUACAAAUAAAAGUUUGUAAACUAAGUUUUAGUACAUCUUAAACCUUAAAAGAAAUCAUAAGCGGAAGAAAAAUAACACAUUCC